CCCCACCCACCAAUAACUUCUUUAGCCUAGACCACUUUUCUGGGUCCUCAUUCCAAAUGUCAUCCAAAACAAGCAAAUAUUUUUUCCCAUCAAUUUUAUCUCGAAGUUGUUUUUGCAAUUGAUCCAUUUCAAGAUUUUGAUCAGGUGCAUGAUGAGUCACAGAUUUGAUAAUGUUUGCUACAAUAGCUUUCACAUCAAAAUCAUCUGAAACACACGCAAACAUCGUUAAGUCAAAAUGAUUUUUGACCAUUUCAUGGUUAUAGACAAGUUGGGCCAAAGCAGUCUUCCCUAACCCUCCAAACCCCACAAUUGGAAUGAUAUAAACAUUCUCUUCACUUUGAAACUCCAACACGAGUUUUAGAAGAGCUGCUUUAUCAUCAUCCCUCCCUAUUAUGUCAUCUUCACGCUCAAAAGAGUGCGUUUGCUGCCUCCUUUUAGUCAUGAAAGAGGUUUCCGCGGGGCGAUCACGCGGAAUGAAGCCAAAAGUGUUGGUCUCGCUUUCAAUUGAAGCUAAUCUCGCCUUAAUGGCCUUCAUUUUCCGACCCAUUUUGAGACCAUAAGCAAAUUGGUUUGAGGUUGAGAAGAAAAGGCGUACCUCUUUCGUCAGCUUGUUCCCACCCGAUACAUCUUUCCGCAAAGCUUCAGUAGAGAAAUCAUCGAGCAAGUCGUCGGCAUCAUAAAGUACAUCUUUCAGCUCUUCAAGCCAAACUUUGACGAGAUUGUCGGUCACCGAUUUCUCUUCUGCGUCAAGAAGCACAGCUUUGAUUUGACAGACAGUGCGUUUGAGGUCGUGGAUGUCAUGUUUUAGAUUCCACCACAGCCCAACUUGAGAGAGAGCACGAGAGCUCAACUUAAUAAUGAGCUCUGCGGCAAUGUCGAAAGCAAUUGCUUCGGCCAUUGUUGGUUCAAACUGAAAUCAAUGCAAAAAGUGUUUGAUUCGUGAAAGAGGAGGACUAAUAUGAGAAUGAUUCCAACAAGAUGAAACACAGAUGUGGAUCCAUACACGCGGAGACUGAAGUAUAUUUAUAGAUGUUACCAUCCACCCAGCAAGUAGUAUAAUUAAAUAAAAAGUAAUUUUAAGAGAUUCAUUAAUAUAAUUAUUUGUCUAUGCAAUAUGUCAAAGUAAAAUGUAAGAGGUUGAUUUGGCAUAUCCCAAUAUAUUUUGUUAUAGUUUGGAUGGUCAUUCUUGUCAAGUUACCUAUCAUUGGCAAAGCUUGGUAGAGACUCUUAAAAUGGUAAAUUUUUAAUUUAAACCUUUUAUAAUUUAUAAAAUUUUAAAUUAAUAAUGAUAAAAUUAUAAUUUAAUCCUCUAAAAAUUUAUAAAAAAUUAAUUUAACUCUUUAAAAAUUAUAAAGAUAUACUACUAUAAAAAUAUAUAAUUUAAUUCCGACUAAAAUUUUUUUUAGCUCGGCUACCGUUGCCUAUAAAAGAAAAAUAAAUUUCGUUUUCCACACAAUAUGUGGAGAGAUAUUGGGUUUAUGUCAGCUCCAUGGGAAUGUAUUUUAUUGGAAUUGAAGGAAAAAUCAUUACUUAUACCCUUAUGAAGAUUGCUUCCAAUGCUCAUAUCUAUUUAAUUAUUUUAUUACACAUAAAAUUGUUUAUUGUGAGUUGGAUGCUUUUGGUUUGAUUAUUUAAGAUAUUUUAUUUUUAAAUAUAUUCUUAAUUAUUUAUUUUACAUAUACAUGUAUUUUAACUUAAUAUAUUUAAUAGUGAUUUUGUUUUUUAUAAAAAAAGGACCCAAAGGUACUACCUCAUUUUAAGUUGCAUCAUAAAUUACAAUGUUAUGGAUAUCGCUAGGAUAAUUCAUCCCAAAAGAUAAAUUACAACACUUAGAAAGAGCCCAAUUACAAAGAGAUCGACUAAUUUGUUACAACCACGUUUCACCCAUUUGACCUCGGCGGAAACAAAAGAAUCAAGCAUCUUGUGAGCUCAUUGAUGCAGUGAUCAAGGGUCGUUAUGUCCUCUUUGUGAAAACUAAAGCGGUUGAUAAUGCUAGCACAAUCUGCUUCAAAAAUGACAUUAUCGGCUUCAAAAAAUUGAGCAUGCCGAAAACCAUCAAUGAGGGCAUCUAAUUCUGCUUUAAUAGUGAUUUUUUAUUCUCAUUUUAUCGGUAUAUUUGUUGGAACAUUUUCAAAUAUUUAUAGUGUUCCAAUAACUAUAAAUGAAUUGGUGUAAUUAAUCAAAAGAUUACAUUAUUUGAUUUUUUGAAAAAGAGUUAUAACUAUUUAAAUAAUAUUAUUUGAAUAGAUAUAAAUGAAUAAUUAUGUGUUUAUUUUUAAGACAUUAUUAUUCAGAAAGACACCUAUUGCUGAAGAGACAUGAAAAUUUCUAUAAGUAGAAAUGGGAUUUCAUUUGGAAAACGUACCAAAAAAUUCUAAAUAUUCUUUCUUUCCUUCCUUCAUUUUCUAAUAUUAUUAGAUUAUUCUAUAAAGUAUUACUGCAGAAAUUCUUUGUAGAAAUUGAGUUUUUGAUAUACAUUGCUUAAUGCUUGGUGGACUAUUCUCGUCAGUGCAAAACGCAAAUAGUCAUUGGCUUCAUUGUAUCCUCGAGGUUAAUUUGCUUGAAACUCAUUUGCACACCGAAUAUAGGUGGGGGUGAAUAUAACCUUAAAGAUAGUGGCUUGAUACACGCCUUGGAGCAUUGUCAUUUUUCUUCUUUUUCUGUUCGAGUUCUGUUUGUGUGUUCGAGAUUUUUCUCACUGGAGUUUUGUACUAACAAUUUUAAGGUUAUAAUUCAUGAUGACUACCACAACACAUGAAAGUGGAACACUAAGGGAGUUGGCUUCCAACUUUGUUAAACUUGAUCGGUUUGAUGGUUGUAAUUUUCGACGAUGGUAGAAAAAUAUGCACUUCUUAUUAUCAACUUUGAAGAUUGCUUAUGUUUUGGAUACUCUAAGACCUGAAGAGAAUGAAAACCAAUCUGUUGUUGCAACUUGAGAAAGAUAAAAAUGGGACAAUGCUGACUACAUGUGCAUGGGCCACAUAUUGAAUGGUUUAUCUGAUGGUUUGUUUGACACCUACCAAAACGAGGUCACCGCUAAAGAAUUAUGGGACAAAUUGGAGACAAGAUACAUGACCGAAGAUGGUACAAGUAAGAAAUUUCUUGUCAGUCAUUUCAAUAAUUAUCAAAUGGUUGAUGGUCAUUCUAUUAUGGAACAAUUUCGUGAUAUUGAAAAGAUGUUGAAUCAAUUCAAGCAAUAUGGUAUGAAAAUGGAUGAAAUGAUUGUUGUAUCCUCCAUAAUAGACAAACUUCCUCCAUCUUGGAAAGACUUUAAAAGAAGUCUAAAACAUAAGAAAGAGGAAAUAUCUCUUGAGGCUUUGGCAAAUCAUCUUCGUAUUGAAGAAGAGUAUAGAAAACAAGAUCAAAACCUAAAUUCAGAAAUUGCCAAAGUGCAUGUUACGGAGGAAGUACAGACUACUAAACCAUUCAAGAGAAAGUUUAAACAGACUGAUAGAGCACCAAAGUUCAAAAAGAAACAAAAGGGCUCAUGCUAUCAUUGUGGAAAGCCCGAACAUUUCAAGAAUGAAUGUCGAUUUUUAAAGAAGAAAUCAUCUUUUAAGGCUGAUAAUAACGAAAAAUUCGUUGCAAUGAUAUCUGAAAUUAAUAUGGCACAACAUGAAAGUACAUGGUGGAUUGAUACCGGAGCAACCAAACAUGUGUGCAAAGACAAAAGCAUGUUCACAAAGUUCACACAAUGAAAAAAUGACAAUGUCUUGUACAUGAGAAAUUCUUCCACCGCAGCAAUCAAAGGCAAAGAGUCUGUUGAACUACAAUUCACUUCUGGAAAGGUUUUAACCUUAAAUGAUGUAUAUUAUGUACCAGAAGUUUGAAAUAAUUUAGUGUCUGGAAGUCUGUUGAAUAAGUUUGGUUUCAAACUUGUUUUUGAGGCAGAUAAGUUUAUUUUGUCUAAGGGACGAAUUUUUGUGGGGAAAGGGUAUAUGUAUGAGAGCAUGUUCAAACUCAAUAUUAUUAAUAAAAAUAAAAAUACUAUUUCUACUUAUAUGGUUGAAUUUUUUUGUUUGUGGCAUUAUAGAUUAGGUCAUUUGAAUUAUAGAAAAUUGAAUGACAUGUAUAAGUUAGAUUUAAUUCCUAUUUUUAAUAAUAACAUUGAAAAAUGCAAUACAUGUAUGUUGACUAAAAUUACAAGAAACCCUUUCCCUAAGGUUAAAAGGAAAACAAAAUUGCUUGAUUUGAUACAUAGUGAUUUAUGUGACAUGCAUAAUACUCCUACAUUAGGUGGAAAGAAAUAUUUUGUUACUUUUAUUGAUGAUUGUUCUAGAUAUUGUUAUGUAUAUUUAUUGCAUUCAAUAGAUGAAGCGCUUAAUAAAUUUAAAGUUUAUAAAUCUGAAGUUGAACUUCAGUGUGAGUCAUUUAUCAAGUGCUUAAGAUUAGAUAGAGGUGAAGAAUAUUAUAAUCCAAGUUAUUUUGAAUCCACUGGAAUUGUCCAUCAAGUUUUAGCCCCUUACACACCACAACAAAAUGGUGUAGCUGAAAGGAAAAAUAGAAUCUUAACUGAAAUGGUAAAUUCAAUGUUAUCAUAUUCAGGUAUUGGACAAGGUUUUAGGGCGAAACUGUUCUAACAACUUGUCAUAUAUUGAAUAAAGUUCCUAAUAAGGAAACUAAAAUAACCCCCUAUGAACCAUGGAAGAAAAUGAAACCAAACCUUAAUUAUUUGAAGGUUUUGGGUUGUAGAGCUAUUGUAAAAGUUCCAACACCUAAACGUAAAAAGUUAGGUGAAAGAGGAAUUGAAUGCAUAUUUAUAGGUUAUGCACAUAAUAGCAAGGCAUAUAGGUUCAUGGUAAUUGAACCAAAUGAUUCAAUUUCAAUUAAUAAUGUUAUUGAAUCAAGAUAUGCUAUUUUUGAUGAAAAUAGAUUUAAUUCUAUAUCAAGACAAUUACAGCCACAACAAUUGAUUCAUUCUUCAAAUGAGAAUGAGAUUCCAUUGGAACAAAUUGAUAAUAAUAAUGAAUCUUGUCAAGAAUUAAGAAGAAGUAAGAGAAUUAAAAAAUGUCAAAGAUUUUGGACCAAAUUUUAUUAUGUUUCUUGUAAAAGGAAAAGGUGAAAGUAUAUGCAAUAAGAUACCUUAUUGUUAUAAUACAGAAUCUGAUCCUAUUACAUUUGAAGAGGCAAUGAAAUCUCAAGACUCUGCUUUUUGGAAAGAAGCAAUAAAUGAUGAGAUGGAUUCAAUAAUGGGAAAUCAAACUUGGAUCUUAGUUGAUCUUUCACCAGGUUCCAAACUAAUAGGUUGUAAAUGGAUCUUCAAAAAGAAAAUGAAGGUUGAUGGAACCAUUGAUAAAUUUAAAGCAAGGUUGGUAGCCAAAGGUUUUAUACAAAAUCAAUGUAUUGAUUACUUUGAUACCUAUGCUCCAGUAGCAAGAAUUGCUACAAUUAGACUCUUAAUAUCACUUACCUCUAUAUAUAAUUUAGUUUUUCACCAAAUGGAUGUUAAAAUUGUAUUUUUAAAUGGUGAAUUAGAAGAGGAAGUGUACAUGGAGUAACAGGAAGGAUUUAUUGUUCCAGGACAAGAGCAUAAGGUAUGUAAGCUUGUUAAAUCUUUAUAUGGGCUUAAACAAGCACCAAAACAAUGGCACCAAAAGUUUGACAAGGUUGUUUUAGCUAAUGGCUAUAAAAUAAAUGAAUCUGAUAAGUGCAUAUAUAGCAAAUUUGAAAAUGGAAAAGGUGUCAUAAUUUGCUUAUAUGUAGAUGACAUGCUCAUUUUUUGCACGGAUUUGGAACAAAUAGAAAACACAAAGAAAUUCUUGUCAAACAACUUUGCUAUGAAGGAUAUGAGUGUAGCAGAUGUUAUUCUUGGGAUUAAAAUAACCCGAGAUGAAAGCACUAUAGCUUUAUCACAAUCACAUUACAUUGAAAAUGUGCUUAAAAAGUUUGAUCUUUUCAACUGUAUACCAGCAUCUACACCCAUGGAUCCUCAAAUAAAAUUAGUAUCUAAUGCUAGUAGGAAAAUUGAUCAAUUGAAAUAUGCAAGUCUAAUUGGUUGUCUUAUGUACAUAAUGACUUGUACAAGACCAGAUAUUUCAUAUGUUGUUGGAAAAUUGAGUAGGUACACAAGUAAUCCAAGUAGUUUGCAUUAGCAAGCUUUGAAUAGAGUACUUAAGUACUUAAAGAAAACUAUUAACUAUGGAUUGUGUUAUAACAGAUAUCCUCCAGUUUUAGAAGGUUAUUCGGAUGCUAGUUAGAUUACAAGUUUGGAAGAUCAUGCAUCUACUAGUGGAUGGAUCUUCAUUCUUGGUAGAUAAGCCAUUUCUUGGGGUUCCAAGAAACAAACAUGUAUUACUGAUUCCACCAUGGCAGCAGAAUUUAUUGCAUUAGCUGCUGCAUCUAAAGAAGCAGAAUGGUUAAGAAAUUUUCUUUAUAAUGUACCUUUAUGGCCUAAGCAAAUUUCACCUAUUUCUAUACGUUGUGAUAGUGAGGCUACUCUAGCAAAGGCAUAUAGCCAAGUAUAUAAUGGAAAGUCUAGACACAUUGGAUUAAGACAUAGUUAUGUCCGAUAAUUAAUCUCUGAUGGAGUGAUCACUAUUAAUUAUGUGAGGUCAAGUGAAAAUUUGGCAGAUCCUUUGACAAAAAGUCUUGCUAGAGAUAUAAUAAAAAGGACCUCAAAAGGGAUGGAACUCAAGCCCAUUAAUUAGAGUCACCCAUGAUGGAAACUCAAAUCAAUGCUUGGUAUAACGUCAAGUCUUGAGUUCAAUGAGACAAAGUACAUCAUUAGUAUGUGACUGUUAGCACUAUAAAUAAAUCCAUCCUAAGAUUAAAGUGCUAGGUAUCCAUAAUGAUAAGGAAAGGAUGAAUAAUGUACUCUUAAUGGACCCAUAACAGAAAUAUGUUAGAGUGUUAUAAUUACGGGAACACUCUUGAUGGGAUCUACCUAUGUGAGUGGAAGUGCGGCCGCUUCUAGGAGCUUAAGGGUUUGACUCUGACAGCACUCAUGAAAAGAGGACACAGACAUAUGGCCAUAAUAGUGUCUCUAGAUACUAUGCAUUGGCCGAUGUUGAAAUCAUUGUACGAGAUGUGUUCAGUUAAUCAAAUGGAAUAGUUGGUUCAAAGCUUUGUCUACCGUGCAUUUUUUAUUAACUUUAACAUAUAUUCACUAAGUGAAGGUUCAAUUGUAAGAUACAUUCAUUUAUGCAAAUUGAUUUCCAAGAAUAUCAAAAUCUAAAAUAUUUUGAAAAUGGGGGGGGAGAUUGUUGGAGCAUUUUCAAAUAUUUAUAGUGUUCCAAUAACUAUAAAUGAAUGGGUAUAAUUAAUCAAAAGAUUAUAUUAUUUGAUUUUUUGAAAAAGAGUUAUAACUAUUUAAAUAAUAUUAUUUGAAUAGUUAUAAAUGAAUAAUUAUGUGUUUAUUUUUAAGACAUUAUUAUUCAGAAAGACACCUAUUGAUGAAAGAUGUCUCUAUGAAGAGACAUGAAAAUUCCUAUAAAUAGGAAUGAGAUUUCAUUUGGAAAACAUACCAAAAAAUUUCAAAUAUUCUUUCUUUCCUUCCUUCAUUUUCUAAUAUUAUUAGAUUAUUCUAUAAAGUAUUACUGCAGAAAUUCUUUGUAGAAAUUGAGUUUUUGAUAUACAUUGAUUAGUGCGUAGUGGACUAUUCUCGUCAGUGCAAAACGCAAAUAGUCAUUGGCUUCAUUGUAUCCUCGAGGUUAAUUUGCUUGGAACUCAUUUGCACAUCAAAGAUAGGUGGGGGCGAAUAUAACCUUAAAGAUAGUGGCUUAAUACACACCUUGGAGCAUUGUCCUUUUUCUUCUUUUUUUGUUCGAGUUCUGUUCGUGUGUUUGAGAUUUUUCUCACCGGAGUUUUGUACUAACAAUAUUUACAUUUGAAUUCAAAUACAUAUUCUACAAUUAACUUUAAUCUCACUGUUACAAUACUUAACCUCACUAAAUUACUUGUUUAACAUGAUUAUCGUGAAUUUAUAGAAAGAACAAUCACGAAGCAAAUGCAGAUGCACUUAUGUUUAAAGUGUUUUUAAUUGAAAUUUUAUUAUUUUGAAAAAUAAAAGUAUAAUAACUUUUUUGGCAUUCCAACUUUAUAAAAGAAUUAUUUUAGCUCUUUAUUUAUUUUCCUUCUUUUUUAGUCUUUGAACUUACAUUUUUUUUGUCAAACCAUCCAAAAUGGGUAAAAAAGUUAACGUUUGUUAACUUUGUUGACAUGACAUAUAGGUGGAUUACCACGAGUAUGUCACAUUAGCAAUUAAUUAUUUUUAAAAAUAUCAAAAAAAAUAUUUUCUUAUUAUUUUUUAAUUUUUUUAAUGUUUAAAAUAUUUUUUAAAUGUUUUAAAAUUUUAAAAAAUAAUUAAUUGCUUAUGUGGCAUAUACAUGGAAAUCCGCGUGUAUGUCACAUCAGUAAAAUCAACAGACGUUAAAUUUUCACUCAUUUUGGAGUGAUUUAACAAAAAUUACAAGUUUAAGAACUAAAAGAAACGAAAAAUUAAAUGAUAAGUUGAAAUAACUUUUUCCGUAAAGUUAGAGACCAAAAGAAUCAUUAUGGCAAAAAAUAGUUGUUUUUCUUCUCUUUUCUUCUUUUCUUUUUGGUAUCUUUUAGUGCUAAAAUUCAAGAUGGUGUGGAAUAGUUUCUAAUCUUAUUAUUGUUAUAUAUGUUUUCGAUCUCAUUAGAGCUAUAAUCUUAUUGUCUAUAUAAAGAGAGCCUAAAUAUAAUUUGUUUAGCUUCUAUUAAACAUGUUAGUGCUCCUUUGUAUGAUCAUUUUCCUCCCGUGAGUAGGGUUGAGUAAAUAAAAUAAAAUAAUUGAAAAUCGAUCCAAAUCAAGGUGUUUAGACGGUUUAUGGAAUACAAAUUAAAAAAUCACAAUUAUCCGAAACCGAACAAAAUUCUAUUCUUUAUUUAACUUAUAAAUAAUUUUUUUAUAACAUAAAAAAUCUUUUAUAUUGAAAAAUAGUGAAAAUAAAUAUAUAUAUAUAUAUAUAUUUUAAAAAUAUUAUAUAAAAGUAUUUGAUUAUUUUUAUUUACUUAAAAAAAUUUUAAAAAUAUCUAUGAAAAUAACUUUGAAAAUUUGUCAAAUGAUAAUUAAAAGCCGUAAAAUAAAGUUAAUUUUAUUAAAAUAAUUAUAAAAUUUUAUAAUAAAAAAUCGAACUAAACUAAAUUAUAAUGGAUGGAUAAAAAAAUGCAAUCGAAUUAAACUAAUAUCACUUAAUUUUAUUGCACCAAACUGGACAUAAAAGAUUUUCUUAAAAAAUUUAACCUGCAAUGAGACUGUUUUUCUCACUAAAACCUUCUAGAGCGUGCAAUGUCCUCGCCAAGUAAGUAAAUUCAAUAGAGGUUGGAGGCUAAAGGUUGAUACAUAAAAGAAGGGGAGGGGCAUAGUUCUGCUUCAAACAAAACCCCAAAUUUAGCAUCUUGAGUUGUUAAAAUAAGUAAAUUCACCAUACUUUUCCGUUAGAUUUUGGCUCUCUUCUUCAGCAGAAUGUAGCGUACAGUACAAGAAGCAGGGACCAUCCUUUCUACCAUGAUUUGUUUAUCCGCCCACAUAUUCCAACAAAACGAAUAUGGUAAUAAAUGUCAUCAAUUUCCUUCUAAUUUCCAAUGGAUCUGAUAUAAAUGGUGUAACUAUAUUCAAGAGUACUUGUAUAAUAUAUAUGCCCAACUGAGUACUAGAUGGAAUCUAUGCUGUUGACGGACUCUUGGAGGCAUGUUCGAGAGAGCUUAAACACAUUUAUAUUUUUCAGUGUUCCAUACAAUAUUCUAAUGAGUGUCAAAUUCAUUAAAAAUGAUGUAAAAAAUAAUAUAAGGAGUAGGGUCAAUCCACAGAAAUUGAGAUAUCAACAUUUGUUGUUUGCUUCAACCAAGUUGCACGUCUAGAUUCCUAUCCUGCCCACGAGGUGUGACUGUCUGUGCAAAAAUAAAAAGAAAAAUUCUAAUGUAAUAAAAGUAAAAAUAAUAAAGAUAAAAAUAAGCAAAAAGGAAAUUAAAUUAAAUAAACUAAUAUGAUGGAAUUCAAGCUUUAAGCUCGAUUUUGUUCCAAUUUCAAACCAAUGCACGAUAACAAGUCUUCUCCUUCAACCGAUAAGCCAGUUAUAGUGAUCGAGGAUGCCUCAGACCACUAACCCUUCCAUAUGUAAAUUAAUUACGAGAACGCCCAACAAUUAAUCCUUAUCGAACGAACAACCACAAAACACGCAUCCACGAUUUAGCUCUCUGGUAGCCUUGUGAGCUAAAAGGGUCCAUCUCGAACCAACAACGUCAAUUACGUGAGUCGUUUAGAUCCGAUUGCUAACUUCUUAGUUGGACACGCUAAUGUGUUCUUCGGAAGAUCAAAUACGACAAAUGCUCAAUCCGGUACUUCCAAUUGUACGUCUAUCAACACCGAAUCAAUGAGCUAUUUUUAACAUUGUGUCAACACAACUUUGUGAGAUGCCAAUAUCUAUCUCCUAAAUCAGAGAAACAACAAAUACCGAAAUAAAAGUUUUUAAGUAUAAAUUUAGAUCUCACAGCUGUCUACUGGAUUAUUUAUUUAGCUACUAAUGAAAAUAUAUGAAAUAAAAGUAUAAAUAAAAUUUAAAAAAUAUGGAAAUAGGAUUGCGCAUGGAAGAGAGAAGUGAUAAACAAGUAUGAAUAAAAGAGGGCAAAUUUUCCAAUAAUAAAGAAAAAAAAAUCAUCACCCUUUAAAAAAGAGUGGGCCAAUCUCACUUUUACCCUUUAAAAAAUAUAUACAAUAAUGUUGCAAUUGAUAAUUCUGCCCAACUUGUCGUUCUUUAUUCAUAUAUAGCAUCAUGUCAUGUGGUGCUAUUCAAGAAAAAUACAUUGAAAGCUGCAGAAAAUUUAUAAAGAAAGGCCGUCCGUUAACAAAGUUUUUAAUAAAAAAUUAGUAACUUUUUAUUUAAUUAUUACUUAGUGGGUGGAUGGUGACAUCUUUAAAAUACAAUAUUGACUCUACGGGUGAUGUAUGUAUGUAUUAACGCUUGUAUUUUCAUCUUGUUCGAAUCAUUUCACUCUUCCUCCUGCAAUAAUCAAACACUUUUUGCGUGCCAUCAAUGGCUGAAGCAUUGCUUUCGAUAUUGCUGGAGAGCUCAUUACUAAGUUGAUCUCGCGAGCUCCCUCUCAGGUUGGAGUAUGGUGGAAUUUCAAAGAUAACCUCGAUGACUUCAAACAUUGUUGCUGUCAUAUCUGAAUGGGCUGAUCUAUGAAAAUUAAAUUAACUCUGAUACUACUUAAUUGUUAGGAUCAAUCCAAUUAAGCAAUAAGUAAAUAAAAUAGCGGAAUAAAUUGAGAAAUUGAACACAUAAAUUUAACGUGGAAAAAUCCCUUUAAAGAGGAUUAAAAACCACGAACAAAUAUAAUUUUACUAUAAUGGUAAAAGAACGAAGAGCAUAAAAGAUGGAGAUAAAAACUAAACCCCGAAAACACGAAAACAAAGAACCCUAAAAACGUAAACACAAAAUUCUCUAAAUGUGUUAUGAGUCUUAUUAUUAAUUAUUGGUAUCGUUGAUGUAGCUGAGCGUGUUAAUAUUUGUUGUUAGUGGUAGUAACAUUUUAAUUAUUUUAUUCUACAUUUAUUUGUUUAUUGUAAGUGGGUUGAUGAUUUUUAUUUGUUUAUUUUUGGAAAUUUUGUUUCAUUCUUUUGUUCCAUGUCAUGUUGGAAAAAGAGUUUGAAUAAACAUGUUUGGAGUAUUAGGGUUGUAUAAUCUAAAUUUUAAGAGAUUGUUGGUAAGUCAAGUAAAAAAAAUAUUUUUUAGAAAAUUUAAUAUUUAUUAAUAUAAUAUAUAUGUUUAGCAUUUAUUAGCAUAAUAUAUUUGAGAUUGAUUAGAAUUAAAUUUUUUUUAACCUAUAAAUAGAUGUAGUUGAAACUCCUAUCGUAUGAUUUGAAUUCAAACAAUUAAUGCAAUAACCAUAUAAAAUGGCGUUGGUUUGGCUACCCCUUUGAUGUUUUGGCUUCGUUUUGGUGUUUGUUUUGGGGGUUGUGUCUCUUUGGGUUAGUUUUCAAUAUAUGCGUGCUGAUGAUGCAAUGAAUAAAGAAAUCAAAAGUUAUGCAGAAAUUUCAAUUCUGGAUGGCGCUGCAAUUAUAUUAUUAAGAGUAGUAGCAUUUUAUUUAUUAUUAACAUAUAUUUGUUUAUUGGAUACGUGUGUUGAUGAUGCAGUGAAUAAAGAAAUCAAAAGUUGUGCAGAAAUUUCAAUUUUGGAUGGCGCUGUAAUUAUAUUACUCAGAGUAGUAGCAUUUUAUGUUUCUUUUAGAUGUACAUAUAUUUAUUAGGAAAGGGUUGAAGUUUUUUAUUUGUUUAUUAUUAGGGUUAAAUAUCAAAUUUAUACCUUAGUUUUGGUUCAAUUGUAUAAUUUGAUACAUGAAUUUUGAUUUGGUGCAAUUAUCUACAUGAAACUUGAAUUCUGGUUCAUAUAUAUAUAAAACUUUGAUCUUGAUAUAAUUGUACGCAUUAAAGAAAUGAAUACCUAUAUUUAUUUUCACAUUGGAUUAAUAUAAUAGUAGCGACCUAAAAUUUUUGCGAGUUAGUUAAGGUCGUUACGAAAGGAAAUCUUGGGUUGACGAUUAUUGAAAAUUCGGAAAAGGUCUCAAUUUUACUUAAAAAGAGACGAGUCGCCACCGGUCCUUUUUCUAAGUGAGAUCAGACACCUACUAAAUUCUCUUUUUAAAAGAAAAUUUAUUUUUAAAAUUCUCUUUAAAAAAAGUCGAUUUUAGGUCUGCGUCAAAAUCCAAAGAAAAUUAGAGUUCGGGAGUCUGUUAUGCACAAAGAAGGUAUUAACACCCUCGUGGCGCCCAAAAUCGAUAUCCCAUUAAACGCGUGUUGUCUUAAAUUUUAAAAAUACGAAUUCAAUUUAAUAUUUAAUCAUGAUUCGAUUGAAAAAUGAGAAUUUUGAUAAAUCACAUAUUAUUGUAUUGUAUAUAUUUUAGAAUGAAAUACUGAUAAUUUACGAAUAAAAAUAAAGAUUUUAUUUUUAAUGAGAGAAUUUUUAAAUUUUUUAAUUUUUAGAAGGGCGUUCCGUAUUUAACAAAAAUCAAUGAUAUCCACCCAACAUAGCAGUGAAAUCAAUGACUUAAUGCUAAAUCGGUUCGUUGACUUAGGUAUUGAAAUUAUUUAAAUUAAAAAUUGUAAAUGAAAUAUUUCUAAAAGGCUGUUUAAAAAUGCUAAUUUAAUUAAAAUGAAACAAUAUUUAAAUACAUGGACUAAAUAAAUAAAUACAUGCACUUAUGUUGUGAGAUAUCUAGUGAGUUCAAAAAUUCUCUUCUGAAAAUGGUGGCUAUCAUGUAAUUAGUAGUAUAUUAUUUCAAUUUUGGUGAGAAUUGUAUUCUCACUUAAACGCUUAAUGCCAUUUGCUUAAUUUUUUGUGUGUGUGAUCGUUUGAUCUGUUCAUAAACAGAACUUUUCAUGGUGGCUAAGUUUCUUAGGGGAUAAAUUAUUAGUAGCAUUAUUUGUUUCUGCAGUGAAAUUGUGAUGCCUGUAUUUUAAACUGUGAGGUAUUUCCGUAUUUGAUGAUGUAGUGGAGUUUUGGUAGAUUAAAGUGCUCGUUUGCUGUACUAAGUUGAAAUUGAAUGAAUGCUGGCCUCAUCCAACGCCCAAAACUUGAUGACUUCAACAUUUUUAUGCCUUAAUUCGAGAAGACUAAGUUAGAGUACUAUAAAACUUUCUCAGAAUGCUGAUGAGGCAAAGAUCUAGUGAUCUAAUAUAAUUGCAAUUCAUAGUAUGGUAGUUUAAAUGCUUUGGUAAGAGAGGAAGAUUAUGUCAUGCUACUCCAUUCUCGGUUUAAAUUGGUGCUCUAUAUGAAGAAAGGUUGAUUGUUGUUAGUUCUUUUGAUGUUUUAUCUUUGAUGGAUGUUUGAGAAAUGAUUCAGUUGAUUUUCAUAAUGUCUAUCACUACAGUUUCCAUCUUAUGCGUAAUAUGACUGCUAGUUUAUCGGUCUUCGUAUAUUAUAUUCCUUUUUCUUACUGUUUUCAACACGAAAACAAGUGAGUUACUAGUUAUUUUACUUGAUUUUGUCAUGGCAUUUCAAAGAUGACCUCGAGGACGUCAAAAGCACCAUCUCCACAAUCAAAGCUGCGCUUCUUGAUGCCGAAGAACAAUCCAUGACCAGCACUCUUGUCAAAGAUUGGCUUGAAAAGUUGAAAGAUGCAUUUUAUGAUGCCGAUGAUUGGCUCGAUGAUUUUUCUACUGAAGCUUUGCAGAAAGAUCUACUGAGCAGGAACAAGCUAAUGAAAGAAGUAUGCCUUUUCUUUUCAAGCUCAAACCAAUUUGCUUAUGGUGCCAAAAUGGGUCAUCAAAUUAAGGCCAGGAUGUUCAACUUGGUAGAGUGUGACCGUCCCAUUAAAACCUCUUUCAUAACUAAGAAGAGGCAGCGAACACACUCUUUUAUGAGUAAAGAUGAAAUAAUAGGGAGGGAAGAUGAUAAAGCAGCUUUUCUAGAACACAUAUUAGAGUUCCAAAGUGAAGAGAAUGUUUAUGUGAUUCCGAUUGUGGAGUUUGGAGGGUUAGGGAUGACUACAUUGGCACAGUUUGUCAAUAAAGUGGUCAAUGAUCAUUUUGAGUUGAGGAUAUGUAAAGAUUCCAAACUGGUCAUCUCGGAAGCGAUCUUAAAUUGGACAAAUCAGAGAGAUAAAGAAAUUGCAACCUCAAGAUGAAUACACUAUGAACUUCAUAAAGAAAUUGCAACCACAAGAUGAAUACACUAUGAACUUCAUAGUACAAAGAAAUGAUUUAACCUCAACCCCUCAAACACUUAACGCAAUCUCACUUUUGUACAAUUAAGUAAAUUCUCUCCCAACUCAUUCUAGCUAUGCAAGUGAAAAUUCACAUUCAACACUCAAAUGGUUUUCCUACUAUGAAUCAAGCUCUUAAUAAGCUCCAUGUAAAGUGGAAUCAUAAAUUUUCAAAGGCAAUAUGUCUGGCAAUUGUCAUGCUUGAACAACGACUCUUCCAAAAGCAUCAAUGAACCUGAAAAUUAUAAAUCCCAACAUAGAAUAUGUUACAAAUCCCAUUAUUAUCAGCCUUAUAUUUGCACAUAUGUGUGUUUGGUAUAAUGCUGUUGAUAUAUAAAUAAUGAAACAUUUUAUCAACUUCAACCUCACCACCAAAUAUUCCGAAGCAUCUUCCUUUUCUUCCUGUUUGGACCUUCAGUAACAAAUUUGGCUGGAAUUCUAAACAGCUAAAAGAGUGCCCUGCAUCAAUGAAUAUUAUCAAUUUGAAUACCUCCAAAAGCUUGUCAAUAGCACAGGUACCAUCUAAGAUAGUAAUCAGUUGGCAUAUAUUAAGAGAAAACAUAAAUAUAUAUAAAGAUAUGAUAGGUAAGUGCUUAAAUGAAGAAAGCAGAGCAUAUAGUACAACCAUUUUGAAGGCUUCAUAGGCCUCUCUUUCCACAUCAAUGAUUUUUUAGAAUUAAAUUAUUAGAAGCAAUUGUCAAGUUAUUAUUAUGAUUUAAAAGUAAAAAGAAAAUAGAUAAAUUAGCACCUCUUUUUAUGCAUAUAAAAUGAUUGAAGUUCACUAAUGCCUUUCUCCAAUGCCUUACUGCACAAAUCACCAAAAAUAUUAUGAAAGAUGAUAAGUAAAAAGUAGGAUUAAAACAUAGGGAUUUUAACAAGGAAAUUAAUAGUAUACAACUUCAAUGAAAAAUGGCAUCGGACCCCUGACUUGGAGAUUCAAUAUACAACUCUUAUUUUUCUUCAAAAAAAGAUAAAUAAAUAAAUAACAAAGACAGACCAACCUGAUCCAACCGAAUGUUGGGGAUGUGAGCAAUCUUUUGCCAAUCAGCGCCGAUGUCCUUCCGACAUCUUUCCUCCAACUGAGGAAUUUCUCCUAUUUGUAAAUACUACAAACUGGUCAGGCAACGCAUCUCGUCCGGAAGAGAUGUUAAAUUGGGCAAAUUAAUGAGAUAAAGCCCUUGCAGAUUUGUUAGAUGUUGAAGCAACUCCGGAAGAUGCCGACACUUUGGAAUAUUUUGCAGCCAUAGAGAGCGUAGGCUUGUAUGAUCUAGGAAUAUUUGGAUGCCAGCUCCAGAUAACUCCAGCUCCUUGCAGUCCUUUACUUCAAACCGUUCAAGGAAAGUGAGGUGUUGGAACACAGGAAGCAGUGACCUCAAUCCAUUGCAAUUAUGAAUUUUUAAUGUUUUCAAUUGAACAAGAUGUUGAAGCCAAAUGGGGAGAGACACCAGCUUUGGAAUAUUAUCAAUCUCCAAAUGAGAGAGAUUCUUAAGGGGUUCCCAUUGCAUGGCCUCUAAAUCAACCUCCUUGCAAUCCUCUAUUGUUAAUGUUUUGAGGCUGAUGAGAUGUUGCAGGCACUCAUCUAGCGUGUGAGUGUCCAACCCCUCAAUGUUGUGUACAUAGAAAGAUUUCAAUUUGGAGAGAGGCAGAGAAGAGGUUGAAGUUGAUGGGGACAUACUAGUGAUUUUCAUCUUCAAUGUCUGCUUUAACGGCCUUGAACUGGAAUUCCUCAACUCUAGCUUACCAUCGAGUGAUGGAUACAGUGGCAUUAAAGUCAAAGGGCAAUUUUGAAUUGUUAAAGAGGAAAGACAAGGAAAUGCCAUGGUUGAUGUUCCCAUAACUGUUGUGUCAUCCUCGUUGGAAUCAUCAUCGAUUGGUUUUGUCGUCCUCCACCAACUCUUCAUAUUCGGACAGUCCCCGAGCGAAAGAUGCUUAAGUGAUGGGAAGAAUGAUUGUGGUUCUCCUUGACUUCCUUUUGGGCUAUUAUCAUCCAUGUACUCCAGCUUCGUACAAUCAUGUAUCUCCAGCCCUUUAAGACAAGGAAAUUGCGCAAAGGACUGGAUUUGUUUGAAAUUAACCCCAUCUAUUGUCAUAUAAACGAGAUUUGUGAGCAAAGGAAGCCAACUUGGAAACUUGGCAUCACCCCUCCAUCCUCGAAUGCAGAGCUCCUUGAGAUUAGGAUGGGGUUGGAGGUCUUCAAGUGAUUUAUCAUCACCACCACCACCACCAUCAUCAUACCAUUCUAAAGCCAACGAGCUCAAAUGUUGCUUCUCUUUCAAAUUAGCAGCCUUAAACUUCUCUUUUGCAUUUUUUACGAAUCCCAAAUUUGUUAUUUGUAGAUGUCCCCUUAAGUUGUUAAGCAAUCUCAAUUCACUUAGAUCUGCACCGCCAUGGGACCCAUCUUUAUCCACUACAGACAUGCUUAACGUCUCAAGUGAAGCCAGCUUCCCUAUUCCACGUGGCAUAUGAGUUAAACUAUGACAAGAAUAACACGCAAGAUGGGUAAGAUUCACCAAUUUUUCAAUCUUCUUUGGCAAUUCUUUAAGCCAAGUACACCAGUCAAGUUUCAGCGCUAGCAAAUUCUGAAUCUUGCAAAUACUCUUUGGGAGAAUCUUAAGAUCGCGAUUAUAAGAAAGAUCAAGGUACCUCAAAUGUUUUAACUUACAAAUGGAGGGUGAAAUCUUUUGAAUACAUAUAGAAUUCAAUUUCAAUACACACAAGCAUCUACAAUUUGCAAUUAUCAAAUCCCAAGUUUCAUAGCUGAAAUCUUCACUUAUUCUGUCUUGAAAAUGUAACAAGGUUCGCAACUUCUUUCCCUUAAACAAAGGAAAUAAUGAAGGUUUAAUUGAUAUGUGGCGACAUUUUUCACCAACAUCACUUGCAAUUUUAUUUGAAUCUACAAUACUACUCUCCAUCCCUGCUACUGAUUCAGCUAGAUCAUGCAUUUUACAUGUUAGCCCUUCCCAUAAAUAUCUUUCUCCUUGUACAUCUUGAAAGAAACUUCUUUCAACUAAAUCUUUAAAAUACCCAAACCCGAUCUCCUCCAGAGAUUGACUUUGAUUCAUUGCUUUAUGAAACCCUAUGCAAUCCAAAAUUGAACAAGCGCUUGUACUUUAAUUUUGUUAUCUUUUGGAUACAAUCGGCAAUAAGCAAAGCAAUGCUUCAAAUGAGACGGGAGAUGAUCAUAACUCAAUUUCAGUAUAGGUAGAAGUUCUCCUUCAAUUUGUGAUAUUUUAGCUAGUUCAUUUUCUUUGAAAGAAUGCCACUCAUUUGCAGUUUUCUUCAAAGAUAAUGUACCAGCUAUCGUCCUUAUGGCUAAGGGAACCCCACCACACCUUUCCGAAAUCUGUCUCCCUACUUCCACAAAGGCUGAAUUUGUUGAGUCUGCAUAUCCUUGCUCAAAUGCUAUCUUUUUGAACAAAGACCAAGCAUCAUCAUCAGACAAGCCUUUCAAUUUCAAAACACGGGAUUGACACUUAUUAGUUAUCUCCGCUACCCUUAGAGAUCGAGUAGUUACUAUUAUCCUACUCCCUUUAGCCCCACCCAUCAAUAACUUCUUUAGCCUAGACCACUUUUCUGGGUCCUCAUUCCAAAUGUCAUCCAAAACAAUCAAAUAUUUUUUCCCAUCAAUUUUAUCUCGAAGUUGUUUUUGCAAUUGAUCCAUUUCAAGAUUUUGAUCUGGUGCUUGAUGAGUGACAGAUUUGAUAAUGUUUGCUACAAUAACUUUCACAUCAAAAUCAUCUGAAACGCACGCAAACAUCGUUAAGUCAAAAUGAUUUUUGACCAUUUCAUGAUUAUAGACAAGUUGGGCCAAAGCAGUCUUCCCUAACCCUCCAAACCCCACAAUUGGAAUGAUAUAAACAUUCUCUUCACUUUGAAACUCCAACACGAGUUUUAGAAGAGCUGCUUUAUCAUCAUCCCUCCCUAUUAUGUCAUCUUCAAGCUCAAAAGAGUGCGUUUGCUGCCUCCUUUUAGUCAUGAAAGAGGUUUCCGCGGGGCGAUCACGCGGAAUGAAGCGAAAAGUGUUGGCCUCACUUUCAAUUGAAGCUAAUCUCGCCUUAAUGGCCUUCAUUUUCCGACCCAUUUUGAGACCAUAAGCAAAUUGGUUUGAGGUUGAGAAGAAAAGGCGUACCUCUUUCGUCAGCUUGUUCCCAUCCGAUGCAUCUUUCCGCAAAGCUUCAGUAGAGAAAUCAUCGAGCAAGUCGUCGGCAUCAUAAAGUACAUCUUUCAGCUCUUCAAGCCAAACUUUGACGAGAUUGUCGGUCACCGAUUUCUCUUCUGCGUCAAGAAGCACAGCUUUUAUUGUACGGACAGUGAGUUUGAGGUCGUCGAGGUCAUGUUUGAGAUUCCUCCACAGUCCAACUUGAGAGAGAGCACGAGAGCUCAACUUAGUAAUAAGCUCUAGGGCGAGGUCGAAUGCAAUUGCUUCGGCCAUUGCUGGUUCAAACAGAAAUCAUGCAAGAGGAGGAGUAAAAUAAGAAUGAUGAAACGUAUGCGAGCCAUUAGCAAUUGAUUAUUUAAAAAAAAAAUUAAAAUAGUUUUUUAUAAUUUUUAAAAUAGUUUUUAAUAGGUGUAUAUUUUUUAAAAUUUUUAUAUUUAAAACAUUAAUUAAUUGCUAAUGUAGCAUUCAUGUCAAUAAAGCUAAUAAAUAUUAAUUUUUUUUGAAUUAAUAAUACAUUUAUUAAAACUUUAUUGCUUUUAUUGGAAUGAUUAUAUAUUAAAGUUUGACAAUGAAUGUACAAAGCUAUUUUAUUCAUAACCAAGUCAAAAUAUUGUCACCCCACACAAUUGUAUACUUUUUCAAAAUCUACUUUAAAAGACAGCACCUCUCCUUCUUUAUGUCUUUGAAUAUAGUCCACAACUUCGUUUUUACUGGAGCACGAUCCAGGAUUUACCAAUCUGAAAUAAAAGUAAAAUUAAAUUUUAUCGAUAGUUUUGAGCCGAGCUUCGAAUCUAUAUAGUCAAAAUUUUUCAAUGGGGUUAGUGGACUUUACUUCAGUUUAAUUGAAAAUAGCUCACAAGGUUCAAAUUGAACAUAUAUAGACAUCUCUUCUCCCCUUGCUUGAGUUGUUGAACUAAACUAACUUUCUUCAUAUAAUAUUAAUUUUACCCAAAAGUUUCCUUUUCAACGAAAAAAAAAUUCCUAAAAUACAAAAGUUAAUGAAAGAUAAAGAAGACAUUGGAUCUAGGUUAAGUUGUUUUGUAAAAAGCUGAAAGUGCAGGGCAUCCAUAUUUGUAUCCUCAACAUUUGGUAACUGAUGGGAGCUAUGCUAAACAUUCAACCAAUCAUUAGGUACUGAAACGUUUUCAUUAAAUGAUAGUCUUACAUAAUGUACACAAGACUGCCUGAUAAUUAGUUGUGUUUCCAUGUGUUGGAUUAUUAUUUGAAACGCCGAAAGAGAAAAUUGUUUUUUUUUUUUUUAAAGAUGACACACAAAAGUAAAAAUAAAGGAGAAUAAAGAACACAACCAAGAUGUUUAUGCCCAACCCACCAAACUUGGUGCAACCUCACCUUUGUACAAUUAAGUAAACACUCUUCCAACUUAAGUGAAAAUCAACACUCAUAAGGUGGCACUCAAAUAAUAGUUACUCACCAAGUGUUCCUUUAAGUCCACAAAUCAUCUAUAUAUAUAAGCUCCAAGAUCAGCUGAUGAAGAAUGCUUACAGAUCGACUCUUCAACAAAGAAAAAAAGAAAAAGAAAGAACAAAUGUGCAUAGAGAGGAGGAUUUCAUGGGAGCACAAUGCAUGGACAGAUCAGCUGAUGAAGAAUGCAUGUCCUGCUUUUUGGCUCUUCCAUUGAACUCAUGCUGAAAAAGAAGCAGCUUAGUUACGAGGUUACAUUAGAUCAUUUGAAAUUAUGAGAUUAUUAUAAUUUUAAAAAUGUAAAGCAAUUAAGUAAUUACCACCUAUUUGUCUGCAUCUAAAUUCUUAAAGUUGUCAAAUGCCUUUAAGAAAAAUACAUGCCAAUCGAAUAUGUGGGCAGAUAAACAAAUGAGGGUAGAAAGUACGAUCUCUGCUUUUUGUAUUGCAAGCUAUGCUCUGCCAAAGAAUAGAGCCACAAGCUAACAAAAAUGAAGGGUAAAAAGAUCAAAAAUUUCAAGAUAAAAUAUAAAAUUGUAUGUACAUAUGAUUAAGAUUUAAAUUAGGAAAAUGAACAAAGCAGAGCAUGAAGUAGAAGCAUAUUGAAGGCUGGCAUGCAAGCAUUUUGGAAAAUGUCCAUUGGGUACCAAUAAAGAUUUUUUAGAAUUAAAGUAUUAGAAGCUAUGAAAUGAUAGAUAUGAACCACCAAAAUGCUUCACACUAAAUCUAAAUUAUUCAAUUUUGUUUUAUUGAAUCAAAUAGAAAAUAAAUGAGUGGCAUGAAUUACCUGUCAUUCCUUGUUGGUAUUUGGUGUAAGCUGCAAUUUCAAAUGUGUAUUUCAUCAGAUCAUUGCGAUGGUGAGAUUAAUAUAAUUUAAAAGCGUAAAGCAUUUAGCUAGAUUACCACUUUUUUUUUCUGCAUUUGAAUUCUUGAAAUUGCCAAAUUCGUUUCACUAGAAGUCUUCGAUGCUUACUGCACAAAAUAGCCAAAUAAAAUGAUAAAUGAAGAAAUUGCACCCAAAGCUUGUUCUAUUUUGACAAAAGAGGCGGUAGUUGGAGAGUCAAUGUACCAACCUGUAGCGAUAUGAGCAAUCUUAUGCCAAUCGGCACCAAUCCCCUUCCGACAUCUUUCCUCCAACUGAGGAAUUCGUUUCAUAAAGAACUCUUCCAAACUGGUUCUCGUCCGGAAGCGAUGUUAAAUUAGGCAAAUCAGAGAGAAUAAGCCUUGGAAGAUGGCGACACUUUGGAAUCUUUGCCAGCGCUAGAGAGCGCAGGCUUGUAUGAUCUUGGAAUAUUUGGAAGUUAGGUGCAGAUAACUCCAGCUCCUUGCAGUUACUUAUUGAAAACUCUUCAAGGAAAGAGAGAUGUUGGAACACAGGAAAGAGUGUCCUCAAUCCAUGGCAUUCAUGAAUUCCCAAUGUUUUCAAUCGAAAAAGAUGUUGAAGCCCAAGGGGGAGAGACACCAGCUUUGGAAUAUUACCAAUCACCAACCAAGAGGUUCCCGUUGCAUGCCCUCUAAAUCAACCUCCUUGCAAUCUCCUAUUGUCAGUUUUUUGAGGCCGGUGAAAACAGAUUAAUGGAAUCCAUGUAGUUUUCAAAGGUGAAUAAAGUAAAAUAAAGUAAAAUAAAAACUAAAAAUAGACUUGGACACUUUAUGUUAAAUUUAUAAUAAGUUUAAGGGCUAAAAUAAUCAAACUAUUGUCUAACACAUGCUAUGAAAAAGAAAUCACGGUUAAAAGAAUAUUGUAUGCUUCAAUGAAAGUCACAAUUUAUCUUUGAUCAUGCUUGUUCGCAACUAAGCCACUAUAAUGUAACUACAUGUUCCUACAAACCUCGCUCUAGUCGACUUUGCCCUAUGAUCCAUUAGUCAAGGGUAUUUAUCCCAUCUCCAAAGUCAUGGGAUUGAUUUGUCGGUUUUGCCUUUUUUAUACUUUAGGUAAAUGUGUACGAAGUGUGUGAGUUCCAAGCUGUGUGUCAUUUGCUUUUCUUUUUUCUUUUUUUUUUUGUGUGUGUGAUCUUUUGAUCUGUUCACAAAUAGAGCUUUUCAUGGUGGCUAAGUUUCUUAGGGGAUAAAUUAUGAGUAGCAUUAUUUGUUUCUGCAGUGAAAUUGUGAUGUCUGUAUUUUAAUGUGUGAGGUAUUUCCAUUUGUUUCUUAGGGAUGCAGUGAAAUGCGUGGGAUGUGAGCAAUUUUAUGCCAACCAGCGCCAAUGUCCUUCCAACUGAGGAAUUUGUCUCAUAAUCAAUUGUGCAUCCUUGCAUUUGAAUACUGUUUGGAACAUUAAAAAUGUGUUUUUUCCUGAGUUGGUACAUAUUAUGCAACAAGGAAUAUAAAGAACAAAAUUAAUAUGUUUACGCAGUUUGGAACUCAUCUUACGUAUGCGGGGCUUUGCCCAAAGAUGAAUCCAAUAUGAACUUCAAUAAAGAAAUGAUUUAAGCUUAACCCCUCAAACACUUGAUGCAAAUUCUCUCCCAACUCAUUUUAGCUAUGCAAGUGAAAUUCACAUUCAACACUCAAAUGGUUUUUCUAUUAUGAAUCAAGCUCUUAAUAAGCUCCAUGUAAAGUGGAAUCAUAAAUUUUGAAAUGCAAUAUGUCUGGCAAUUGUCAUGCUUGAACAACGACUCUUCCAAAAGCAUCAAUGAACCUGAAAAUUAUAAAUGCCAACAUAGAAUACGUUACAAAUCCCAUUAUUAUCAGCCUUAUAUUUGCACUUAUGUGUGUUUAGUAUAAUGCUGUUGAUAUAUAAAUAAUGAAACAUUUUAUCAACUUCAACCUCACCUCCAAAUAUUCUGAAGCAUCCUCCUUUUUUUCCUGUUUGGACCUUCAAUAACAAAUUUGGCUGGAAUUCCAAACAGUUAAAAGAGUGCCCUGCGUCAAUGAAUAUUAUGAAUUUGAGUACCUCCAAAAGCCUGUCAAUAGCAUAGGUGCCAUCUAAGAUAGCAAUCAGUUGGCAUACAUGAAGAGAAAACAUAAAGAUAUAUAAAGAUAUGAUAGGUAAGUGCUUAAAUGAAGAAAGCAGAGCAUAUAGUACAACCAUUUUGAAGGCUUCAUAGGCCACUCUCUCCACAUCAAUGAUUUUUUAGAAUUAAAUUAUUAGAAGCAAAUAGAUAAAUUAGCACCUCUUUUUAUGUAUAUAAAAUGAUUGAAGUUCACUAAUGCCUUUCUCCAAUGCCUUACUGCACAAAUCAGCAAAAAAUAUUAUGAAAGAUGAUAAGUAAAAAGUAGGAUUAAAACAAGGGAUUUUAACAAGGAAAUUAACAGUAUCCAACUUCAAUGAAAAAUGGCAUCAGACCCCUGACUUGGAGAUUCAAUAUACCACUUAUUUUUCUUCAAAAACAGAUAAGGUCAUCAAAAUAAAUAAAUAACAAAGACGGACCAACCUGAUACAACACAAUGUUGGGGACGUGAGCAAUCUUUUGCCAAUCAGCGCCAAUGUCCUUCCGACAUCUUUCCUCCAACUGAGGAAUUUCUCGUAUGUGUAAAUACUCCAAACUGGUUAGGCAACGCAUCUCGUCCAGAAGAGAUGUUAAAUUGGGCAAAUUUACGAGAUAAAGCCGUUGCAGAUUUGUUAGAUGUUGAAGCCAAUCCGGAAGAUGCCGACACUUUGGAAUAUUUUGCAGCCGUAGAGAGUGUAAGCUUGUAUGAUCUUGGAAUAUUUGGAUGCCAGCUCCAGAUAACUCCAGCUCCUUGCAGUCCUCUACUUCAAACUCUUCAAGGAAAGUGAGAUGUUGGAACACAGGAAACAGUGACCUCAAUCCAUUGCAGUUAUGAAUUUUUAAUCUUUUCAAUUGAACAAGAUGUUGAAGCCCAAUGGGGAGAGACACCAGCUUUGGAAUAUUAUCAAUCUUCAAAUGAGAGAGAUUCUUAAGGGGUUCCCAUUGCAUGCCCUCUAAAUCAACCUCCUUGCAGUCCUUUACUUCAAACUCUUCAAGGAAAGUGAGAUGUUGGAACACAGGAAGCAGCGACCUCAAUCCAUUGCAGUUAUGAAUUUUUAAUGUUUUCAAUUGAAGAAGAUGUUGAAGCCCAAUGGGGAGAGACACCAGCGUUGGAAUAUUAUCAAUCUCCAAAUGAGAGAGAUUCUUAAGGGGUUCCCAUUGCAUGCCCUCUAAAUCAACCUCCUUGCAGUCCUUUACUUCAAACUCUUCAAGGAAAGUGAGAUGUUGGAACACAGGAAGCAGCGACCUCAAUCCAUUGCAGUUAUGAAUUUUUAAUGUUUUCAAUUGAAGAAGAUGUUGAAGCCCAAUGGGGAGAGACACCAGCUUUGGAAUAUUAUCAAUCUCCAAAUGAGAGAGAUUCUUAAGGGGUUCCCAUUGCAUGCCCUCUAAAUCAACCUCCUUGCAAUCUCUUAUUGUUAAACUUUUGAGGCUGGUGAGAUGUUGCAGGCACUCAUAUAGCGUGUGAGUGUCCAACCCCUCAAUGGUGUGUACAUGGAAAGAUUUCAAUUUGGAGAGUGGAAGAGAAGAGGUUGAAGUUGAUGGGGCCUUAGCGUUGAUGUUCAUCUUGAUAGUCUGCUUUAACGGCCUUGAACUGGUAUUCAACAAUAUUAGAUCUUCAUCGAGUGAUGGAUACAGUGGCAUUAAAGUCAAAGGGCAAUUUUGAAUCCAUAAAGAGGAAAGACAAGGAAAUGCCAUGGUUGAUGUUCCCAUAACUGUUGUGUCGUCCUGGUUGGAAUCAUCAUUGAUUGGUUUUGUCAUCCUCCACCAACUCUUCAUAUGCAGGCAUUGACUGAGCCGAAGAUGCUUAAGUGAUGGGAAGAAUGAUUGUGGUUCUCCUUGACUUCCUUUUAGGCUAUUAUCAUCUAUGUACUCCAGCUUAGUACAAAAGCUAAUAUCCAGCAGUUCAAGACGGGGCAAUUGAGCAAAGGACGGGAAAUAUUUGAAAUUACCACCACUUAUGAAAAUUUUGACGAGAUUUGUGAGAAAAGAAAUCCAACUUGGAAACUUGGCAUCACCCCUCCAUCCUCCAAUACAGAGCUGCUUGAGAUUAGGAUGGGGCUGGAGGUCUUCAAGUGACUUCUCAUCAUCAUGGUUACCACCGCCCCAUUCUAAACCCAACCAUCUCAAAUGUUGCUUCUCAUUCAAAUUAGCAGCCUUAAACUUCUCUUUUGCAUUUUUUACGAAUCCCAAAUUUGUUAUUGUUAGGCGUCCCCUUAAGUUGUUAAGCAGUCUCAAUUCACUUAGAUCUGCACCGCCAUGGGACCCAUCUUUAUCCACUACAAACAUGCUUAACGUCUCAAGUGAAGUCAGCUUCCCUAUUCCACGUGGCAUAUGAGUUAAUCUAUCACAAAAAUAACACGCAAGAUGGGUAAGAUUCACCAAUUUUUCAAUCUUCUUUGGCAAUUCUUUAAGCCUAUGACAGCUGUCAAGUUUCAGCGCUAGCAAAUUCUGAAUCUUGCAAAUACUCUCUGGGAGAAUCUUAAUAUUGUAAUUGGCAGAAAGAUCAAGGUACCUCAAAUGUUUCAACUUGUAAAUGGAGGGUGAAAUCAUCUGAAUACCUAACCACCGAAAAUCCAAUACACGCAAGCAUCUACAAUUUGUAAUUACAAAUUCCCAAGUUUCUUCGCUCAAAUGUGCAGAAAAUUUGUUUGGAUAUCGUAACAAGGUUCGCAACUUCUUUCCCUUAAACAAAGGAAUUAAUGAAGGAUUAAUUGAUAUGUGGCGACAUUUUUCACCACCAUCACUUGCAAUGUUAUUUGAAUCUACAAUACUACUCUCCAUCCCUGCUACUGAUUCAGCUAGAUCAUGCAUUAAAUCAUGCAUUUUACAUCUCAUAUCCCCAAUUCCAUAUUCUUCUACCUCUUGAAAGAAACUUCUUUCAACUAAAUCUUUAAAAUAUCCAAAUCCGAUCUCCUCAAGAGAUUGACUUGGAUUCAAUUGCUUUACAAAACCUUGUGCAAUCCAAAAUUGAACAAGUGUUCGUACAUCAAUUUCAUGAUCUUUUGGAUAUAGUCGACAAUAAGCAAAACAAUGCUUCAAAUGGGAUGAGAGAUGAUCAUAACUCAACUUAAGUGUAGGUAAUAUCUCACCUUCGUUCUGAGAUAUUCUAGCAAGUUCCUUAUCUUUAAAAGAAAGCCACUCACUUUUAGUUUCUUUGAAAGAUAACGUACCAGCUAUCGUCCUUAUGACUAAGGGAACCCCACAACACCUUUCCAGAAUCAGCUUUCCUAUUUCCACAAAGCCUGAAUCUGUUGAGUCUGCCGAUCUUUGUUCAAAUGCUAUCUCUUUGAACAAAGACCAAGCAUCAUUAUCAGACAAGCCUUUCAGAACAUAAGGCUGACAUUUACUAGUAAUCUUUGCUACUCCCAAAGAGCGAGUAGUUACUAUUAUCCUACUUCCUUUAGCCCCACCUACUAAUAACUCUUUUAAACUAACCCAAUUUUCCCACUUUUCAUUCCAAAUGUCAUCCAAAACAAGCAAAUACUUUUUCCCACCAAUUUUUUCCCGAAGUUGUUUUUGCAAUUGGUCCAUUUCGAGAUUUUGAUCUGGUGCUUGGCCUGUUGCAGAUUUGAUCAUGUUUUCUACAAUUAUUUUGACAUCAAAAACAUCUGAAACACACACCCACAUCAUCAACUCAAAAUGAUUUUUGACCAUUUCAUCAUUAUAGACAAACUGAGCCAAAGCAGUCUUCCCUAACCCUCCAAACCCCACAAUUGGAAUGAUGUAAACAGUCUCUUCACUUUCAAACUCUAACACGAGUUUUAGAAGAGCUGCUUUAUCAUCGUCCCUCCCUAUUAUUUUAUCUUUAGGCACAAAAGAGUGCGUUUGCUGCCUCUUUUUAGUCAUGAAAGAGGUUUCCAUGGGACGGUGACGCUCUACCAAGUUGAACACCUUGGCUUCACUUGCAAUUGAAAACAACCUGGCCUUAAUGGUCUUAAUUUUCCGACCCAUUUUGAGACCGUAAGCAAACUGGUUUGAGCUCGAGAAGAAAAGGCGUACCUCUUUCGUCAGCUUGUUCCCACCCAUUAGAUCUUUCCGCAAAGCUUCGGUAGAGAAAUCAUCUAGCAAGUCGUCAGCAUCAUAAAGUACAUCUUUCAGCUCUUCAAGCCAAACUUUGACGAGAUUGUCGGUCACCGAUUUCUCUUCUGCGUCAAGAAGCACAGCUUUGAUUGUACGAACAGUGCGUUUGAGGUCGUCGAGGUCAUGUUUGAGAUUCCACCACAUUCCAACUUGAGAGAGAGCACGAGAGCUCAACUUAGUAAUAAGCUCUAGGGCGAGGUCGAAUGCAAUUGCUUCGGCCAUUGCUGGUUCAAACAGAAAUCAAGCAAAGAAGUGUUGGGUUAUUGCAAGAGGAGUAGUAAAAAUGAGAAUGAUUGGAACAAGAUGAAACACAGAUGUGGAUCCAUACACGCAGAGACUAAGUAUAUUUAUAAAUGUUAGCAUUCACCCAGCAAGUAGUAUAAUUAAAUAAAAAGUAAUGUUGAUUGGUGGGAAAUGGUCCCUCCAUGUUUACUGUUUGACACAAAUUUCUCAACGGAGACAAAGUUGGACACUUGGGGUGCUCUGCACAAUGUGGAGCCGUACAAAUAAUUGAAAUUAAUGAAAAAGAUAGGUAAGAAAAGAGAAAAAGGAGACAAAUCCCAUGGAAUCCAAGGUGUUUUGAUUGACGCCCAUCCAUUCAAGUCUUUUUAAACCUUCUUCCCACUUACUUUGUGUAAUUGAGUGAGUCUGAACACUCGGUUUUAACUUAAAUUUAAUAUUUUAUUUUUUAAUUUAACUUCAGUUGAAUAUAUAAAAUAAAAAUUCAAUAAAAGUCAUUCACCAUUAAAAUCAAAUAUUAUUAAAUUCGAAUAUAUUAAAUCAAUAAUUUAAAUAUAAUUUAAUGAUUAUUGAAUCAACUUAAAUCAUGUCCAUAUUUUUUGUCUUUGAAGGUAACUUGGUGCCUACAAUAAUAUAUUACGACAAUGGUUACUGUCCAUUACUACUUUAAUAUACUCUUAUUACUAGUGUUUUUUUAUAUUAAUGGGUAUGUUAAUUAUAUUUGCUAUUAAUUUUUUAUAUAAUAUUAAGAGUGGGGAUGGAGGUAAUAUUGUUUGAAUCCGUGUCAAACACGUAUUGACAAGAGUUUUAACUACCGUUCCUAGCAAGUCAAGACAUAUUUGUUAUUAAUAGUAGUAGCAUUUUAUUUUUCUUUUAAAUAUACAUAUAUUUAUUAAGAAAGGAUCCAAGGUUUUGAUUUGUUUAUUAUUAGGGAAAAAAAUUUAAAUUUAUACAAGAAUUUUAGUUCAAUGAGUAAUUUAAUACAUGAAUUUUGAUGUGGUAUAAUUUCCACAUGAAACUUGUAUUGUGGGUCAUAUAUUAAUACAUGAAAUUUUAAUUCUCAUUCAACUGUACACAUGUAAAAAAAUGCAUACAUAUAUAUAUUUUUACAUUGGAUUAAUAUAAUUGUUUGUCGAUAUAAUAUAUCAAAGUAAAAUGUAAGAGGUUGAUUUGGCAUAUCCCAAAACAUUUUGUUAUAGCUUCCGGUGUUGUAACACCCUUAAACCGUAUCCAUUGGCAAAAUAGGGUUAUAGAGCAUUACCGGAGUUUACAAAUUAAUUUAGAGACAAUUCAUUUCAUCAAGCAUUCAUAUUUAUAACCAAUCAAAAUCAAAACAUUAAUGAACUAACGUUGGUCAAUUUAACUUACAUGCCAUUAUAACCAGAAUCAAAUUAUUCAAAAUUACCGAUAGAACCAAUGGAUAGUGCAAUAUAUCUCCGACAAGUUUCCAACCCAAUCGAGCUUCCGAUAAUCAUUUCAAUGCAGCUAAUAAUUAUACAUAUUACCAAUAAUAAUUCAAUUCAAAUAAUAAAACACAUAUUUAUAUAAUAUUUAUCACCAAAUAACAUUCACUUUAAUUAAAAUUAUACUGAAUAUAGUUCAUACGAACUUACCAGGCUAAAUUGCAGAAAUGCCAAAAUUCAGGGAUAUUUUGGUAAUUUUCUAUUUUCCUUGAAUUUCCACCCAAUCUUGAUCUAAAUUAAUAUUUCAUUCAAUUUAUUAAUUGAAAUAAUAAAACAAUUUAUUUCAUACAAUUUGGUCACUUUUUGACAUUUUUACAAAAUUACCCUAAAAAUUUUACCUUUAUUCAAUUUAGUCCCUGAACCUAAAACAUGUAAAUUAGCUAUUUUAAAAAUAAACCCAUAUUAUCUAAAUAUUCACAUAUAUUUUUUCCUCCUCCUCCACUCCAUUCUACACCCUUGAUAUAUACAUAAUACCACUAUUUACUUGUUUACUCAUAACAAGUUAUUCACUUGAGUCAUAGUCACUAAAUAAAUUAUAUAUUAAGCUACAGUACUCCAAUUUGAGAUUUGUAAAUUUUCUAUGAAACUAGACUCACAUAUAUUCUUACCAUAAAAUUUCAGAAUUUUUUUUAUCCAAUAAGUACAUUUUAUUCUUUAAAGUUUCCCCUAUUUCAUUGUUUGACAGUUCCGAUCCCUCUUCACUAAAAAUUAAUUAUCCCUUUGUAAAAAAUUCAGAUGAUAUUCAUGUUUGUUUCUAUUGAAAAUAGACUCAUUAAGUAUUUUAAAAAUAUAAAUUAUAACCCAUAAUUAUUUUUAUACAAUUUUUAAUGAUUUUUCCAUGUCAGAACAGGGGAACUCGAAUUCAUUCUAACAUUGUCUCACAAAAUUCAUUAUAUCUCAUGAUUUACAAUUUCAUUACUUACACUCUUUCUUCUAUGAGAAACCAGACUGAAUAAGCUUUAAUUUCAUUUUUUUUUUCAUCCUCUAAUUUGAUUUCCACAAUUUAUAGUGAUUUUUCAAAGUUAACCUACUACUGCUGUCCAAACUGUUUUAGUGUAAAAUGUUGAUAACUAAAUUUAUAACACCUUUGUUUCCUUUCUCUUCAAUAUUUUCCAUCACUUCCUCUUAUUUCCCUUUACUAACAUAACAACAAUAUAGAUCCUUAUAUAAUGAAACUCUACAUUAAUAUUAAUUUCCUACUUUUUCAAUAAUAUCAAACUCAAAAGUAUAUUGAAAUCUUGAUGUUCUUACAUUGUGCUAUUGAUUUCAAUCUUUAACUUGAUUUUCUCUCUCCUUCAACUUCUAUUUCUUGAAUCGAACUUAAUAUUCUAGCUCCCCAUAGUCUCCUUAACAUUUUUCUCUCUUGGUAGCUAUGGAAAUUCUUUUGAUUUCUAGGUGAAAAUGGUAAAUUUUUGGAGGAAGGACCAAAUUGUAAAGAAAAGAAAACUUUCUUUCUGUCUUCCUUCUUCUCACGUUGGUUCUUCAUCUUUCCCUCCAUAUAUAAUACUAAAUAGAAUAAUAAUAAAAUAAUAAAAUAUCAUUUCAAAAUUAAAUUAAAAUAUUAAUAAAUUAAUAUUUAUUUAUUUAAUUAAUCUAAAAUAUCACCAACAUCAUCAUUGCCUUCUAGAUUUCUCUCUCUUCUAAUUGACUAUUUUGCCCUUUAUAAUCUUUAAAAAUUCCAUCCUUGAGUCAUCACUUAAUUUGGUAAAAUUACGAUUUAGUCCCUCAAAAUUCUUCACCUUUUUUAAUUUGGUCCUAAUUCAUCCAUUUUCCUUAGUUUCUAGAUUAUUCCACCCUUAAAAUAUUUUCACUAUUGGUCCUUCAACUUUUUCAUAUUUACACUUUACCCCUUCAAAUUUUGAGUAUUUACUCUUGAUCAACAAAACUUUUCUCACUUUUGCGAUUUAAUCCUUUCUUGAAUUAAUAUAUUAUAAUAUAAUUCCUAAUGUUGCCAAAACUCAAAAUUUUCAAGGUAUUACAGUAAUAAUUUUCGGGAUAUUACAGGUGCUCAUAUCUAUUUAAUUAUUUUAAUACACAUAAAAUUGUUUAUUGUGAGUUGGAUGAUUUUGGUUUGUUUAUUUAAGAUAUUUUAUUUUUAAAUAUAUUCUUAAUUAUUUAUUUUACAUAUUUUAACUUAAUAUAUUUAAUAGUGAUUUUUUUAAUAAAAAAAAGGACCCAAAGGUUACUACCUCAUUUUAAGUUGCAUCAUAAAUUACAAUGUUAUGGAUAUCGCUAUGAUAAUCAAUCUCAAAAGACAAAUUACAACACUUAGAAAGAGCCCAAUUACAAAGAGAAUCGGCUAAUUUGUUACAACCACGUUUCACCCAUUUGACCUUGGCGGAAACAAAAGAAUCAAGCAUCUUGUGAACUCCUUGAUGCAGUGAUCAAGGAUCGUUAUGUCCUUCUUGUCAAAACUGAAGCAGUUGACAAUACUAGCACAAUCUGUUUCAAAAAUGACGUUAUCGGCUUUAAGAAAUUGAGCAAGCUGAAAACCAUUUAUGAGGGCAUCUACUUCCGCUUUAAUAUUGAUUUUUUAUUCUCAUUUUAUCAGUAUAUUUACAUUUGAAUUCAAAUACAUAUUCUAUAAUUAACUUUAAUCUCACUGUUACAAUACUUAACCUCACUAAAUUACUUGUUUAACAUGAUUAUGGUGAAUUUAUAGAAAGAACAAUCACGAAGCAAAUGCAGAUGCACUUAUGUUUAAAGUGUUAUUAAUGGAAAUUUUAUUAUUUUGAAAAAUAAAAGUAUAAUAACUUUUUUGGCAUUCCAACUUUAUAAAAGAAUUAUUUUAGCUCUAUAUUUAUUUUUCCUUCUCUUUUAGUCUUUAAACUUACAUUUUUCUGUCAAACCAUCCAAAAUGGGUGACAAAGUUAACGUUUGUUAACUUUGUUGACAUGACAUAUAGGUGGAUUACCACGUGUAUGUCACGUUAGCAAUUAAUUAUUUAAAAAUAUUUUCUUAUAAUUUUUUUAAUUUUUAAAAUAUAUUUUUUAAUUUUUUAAAAUUUUAAAAAAUAAUUACUGCUUAUGUGACAUAUACGUGGCAAUCCGUGUGUAUGUCACAUCAUCAACUUCAAAUCAUGCAUUUUACAUCUCAUAUUCCCAAUUCCAUAUUCUUCUACCUCUUGAAAGAAACUCCUUUCAACUAAAUCUUUAAAAUACCCAAAUCCGAUCUCCUCGAGAGAUUGACUUUGAUUCAAUUGCUUUAUGAAACCCUGUGCAAUCCAAAAUUGAACAAGCGCUUGUACUUCAAUUCUGUAAUCUUUUGGAUACAAUCGGCAAUAAGCAAAGCAAUGCUUCAAAUGAGACGGGAGAUGAUCAUAACUCAAUUUCAGUAUAGGUAGAAGUUCUCCUUCAAUUUGUGAUAUUUUAGCUAGUUCAUUUUCUUUGAAAGAAUGCCACUCAUUUGCAGUUUUCUUCAAAGAUAAUGUACCAGCUAUCGUCCUUAUGGCUAAGGGAACCCCACCACACCUUCCCGAAAUCUGUCUCCCCACUUCCACAAAGGCUGAAUUUGUUGAGUCUGCAUAUCCUUGCUCAAAUGCUAUCUUUUUGAACAAAGACCAAGCAUCAUCAUCAGACAAGCCUUUCAAUUUCAAAACAUGGAAUUGACAUUUAUUAGUUAUUAUUAUCCUACUCCCUUUAGCCCCACCCAUCAAUAACUUCUUUAGCCUACACCACUUUUCUGGGUCCUCAUUCCAAAUGUCAUCCAAAACAAGCAAAUAUUUUUUCCCAUCAAUUCUAUCUCGAAGUUGUUUUUGCAAUUGAUCCAUUUCAAGAUUUUGAUCAGGUGCUUGAUUAGUCACAGAUUUGAUAAUAUUUGCUACAAUAACUUUCACAUCAAAAUCAUCUGAAGCACACGCAAACAUCGUUAAGUCAAAAUUAUUUUUGACCAUAAUAUUUAUAUUUUAUUUUAUAUUUGUUUAAGUUCGGCCUGGUCCAAAAUAUAAAUUUAAAGUUUGUUCAAAUUUGUAAACAACUAACUCAAACUCAUUUUAAAUCCACUCAUAAUAUUUUUUAAAAAAUUAAAAUGUAUUUAUAUUAUUUUUAACUUAAUAUUUAAUAAUUUUACAUUUUUAUUAAAAUUUUAUAUAUAGUCAUCGUAACAUUAUAAUAGCAUUAUAAAUUUAAUUUUUAUUUUUUUACAAAUUACAUAAAAUAUAAAAGUAACAUAAUAUAAAAUUUUGCAAACUAAAAAAAUAAGUUGGGCCAAACUUAGGCUUUGGAUAUUCAAAUUUGAGAUCGACCUAUAUUUUAAACGGGCCUAUUUUUUGAAUUAAAUAGUUUUACCCAAAUUCUCCAAAAUUUCAAGUGAGUAAGUCUAGAUUGACUAAAUUUAUUAUACUCUUUCCCUUUUAUUUCCCUAUUGUUUUGGAUUAACAAUACAUUUAUUAAAACUUUAUUGCUUGUAUAGGGAUGAUUAUAUAUUAAAGUUUGACAAUGAUUGUACAAAGCUAUUUUAUUCAUAACCAAGUCAAGAAAUUGUCACUCCACACAGUUGUCUACUUUUUCAAAAUCUACUUUAAAAGAUAGCACCUCCCCUUCUUCACAUCUUUGAAUAUAGUUCACAGUUUCGUUUUUACUGGAGCACGAUCCAGGAUUUAUCAAUCUGAAAUAAAAGUAAAAUUGAAUUUUAUCGAUGGUUUUGAGCCGAGCUUCGAAUCUAUAUAGUCAAAAUAGUCUUACAUAAUGUACACAAGAUUGUCUGAUAAUUUAUUGUGUUUCCAUGUGUUGGAUUAUUAUUUGAAACCCCGAAACAGAAAAUUGUAUUUUUUUUUUUGAAGUUGACACACACAAAAGUAAAAAUAAAGGAGAAUAAAGAACACAACCAAGAUGUUUACGCAGUUCAGAACUCAUCCUACAUUUGUGAGCUUUGUCUAGAGAUAAAAUCGCUAUAAACUUCACAGUACAAUGAAAUUAUUUAUGCCCAACCCUCCAAACUUGAUGCAACCUCACCUUUGUACAAUUAAGUAAACACUCUUCCAACUUAGUGAAAAUCAACACUCAUAAGGUGGCACUCAAAUAAUAGUUACUCACUAAGUGUUCCUUUAAGUCCACAAAUCAUCUAUUUAUACAAGCUCCAAGAUCAGCUGAUGAAGAAUGCAUACAGAUAUGAUAGGUAAGUGCUUAAAUGAAGAAAGCAGAGCAUAUAGUACAACCAUUUUGAAGGCUUCAUAGGCCUCUCUCUCCACAUCAAUCAUUUUUUAGAAUUAAAUUAUUAGAAGCAAUUGUCAAGUUAUUGUUAUGAUUUAAAAGUAAAAAGCAAAUAGAUAAAUUAGCACUUCUUUUUAUGCAUAUAAAAUGAUUGAAGUUGUCUAAUGCCUUUCUCCAGUGCCUUACUGCACAAAUCAGCAAAAAUAUUAUGAAAGGUGAUAAGUAAAAAGUAGGAUUAAAACAAAGGGAUUUUAACAAGGAAAUUAACAGUAUCCAACUUGAAUGAAAAAUGGCAUCAGACCCCUGACUUGGAGAUUCAAUAUACCACUCUUAUUUUUCUUCAAAAAAAGAUAAGGUCGUCAAAAUAAAUAAAUAACAAAGACGGACCAACCUGUUACUACAAAAUGUGGGGGAUGUGAGCUAUCUUAUGCCAAUCAGCACCAAUGUCCUUCCGACAUCUUUCCUCCAACUGAGGAAUUCUUUUUAUUUCUAAAUACUCCAAACUGGUUAGGCAACGCAUCUCGUCCGGAAGAGAUGUUAAAUUGGGCAAAUUAACGAGAUAAAGCCGUUGCAGAUUUGUUAGAUGUUGAAGCCACUCCGGAAGAUGCCGACACUUUGGAAUAAUUUUCAGCCAUAGAGAGCGUAGGCUUGUAUGAUCUUGGAAUAUUUGGAUGCAAGCUCCAGAUAACUCCAGCUCCUUGCAGUCCUUUACUUCAAACUUUUCAAGGAAAGUGAGAUGUUGGAACACAGGAAGCAGUGACCUCAAUCCAUUGCAGUUAUGAAUUUCUAAUGUUUUCAGUUGAAAAAGAUGUUGAAGCCAAAUGGGGAGAGACACCAGCUUUGGAAUAUUAUCAAUCUCCAAAUGAGAGAGAUUCUGAAGGGGUUCCCAUUGCAUGCCCUCUAAAUCAACCUCCUUGCAAUCUCUUAUUGUUAAUCUUUUGAGGCUGGUGAGAUGUUGCAGGCACUCAUCUAGCGUGUGAGUGUCCAACCCCUCAAUGUUCUGUACAAGGAAAGAUUUCAAUUUGGAGAGUGGAAGAGAAGAGGUUGAAGUUGAUGGGGCCUUAGCAUUGAUGUUCAUUUUGAUAGUCUGCUUUAACGGCCUUGAACUGGUAUUCCACAACAUUAGCCCUUUAUCGAGUGAUGGAUACAGUGGCAUCAAAGUCAAAGGGAAAUUUAAAAUCCAUAAAUUGGAAAGACAAGGAAAUGCCAUGGUUGAUGUUCCCAUAACUGUUGUGUCGUCCUCGUUGGAAUCAUCAUCGAUUGGUUUUGUCAUCCUCCACCAACUCUUCAUAUUCGGGCAGCAAAAGAGCUGAAGAUGCUUAAGCGAUGGGAAGAAUGAUUGUGGUUCUCCUUGACUUCCUUUUGGGCUACUAUCAUCCAUGUACUCCAGCUUAGUACAAUCAUGUAUAUCCAGCACUUCAAGACAACGAAAUUGAGCAAAGGACGGGAGAUGUUUGAAAUUACUAUCACUUAUGUAAAUUCUGACGAGAUUUGUGAGCAAAGAAAGCCAACUCGGAAACUUGGCAUCACCCCUCCAUCCUCCAAUAUGGAGCUGCUUGAGAUUAGGAUGGGGCUGGAGGUCUUCAAGUGACUUCUCAUCAUCAUGGUUACGACCGCCCCCUAUUAAAUCCAACGCGCUCAAAUGUUGCUUCUCAUUCAAAUUAGCAGCCUUAAACUUCUCUUUUGCAUUUUUUACGAAUCCCAAAUUUGUUAUUGUUAGGCGUCCCCUUAAGUUGUUAAGCAGUCUCAAUUCACUUAGAUCUGCACCGCCAUGGGACCCAUCUUUAUCCACUACAAACUUGCUUAACGUCUCAAGUGAAGUCAGCUUCCCUAUUCCACGUGGCAUAUGAAGUCAGCUUCCCUAUUCCACGUGGCAUAUGAGUUAAACUAUCACAACCUUCACACCCAAGAUGGGUAAGAUUCACCUUUAUCCAACUUCCAUAUUUGUUAUUAGUAGUAGCAUUUUAUUUUUCUUUUAAAUAUACAUAUAUUUAUUAAGAAAGGAUCGAAGCUUUUAUUUUUCUUUUAAAUAUACAUAUAUUUAUUAAAAAAGGGUCGAAGCUUUUAACUUGUUUAUUAUUAGGGAAAAAAAUUAAAUUUAUACAUGAAUUUUAGUUAAAUGAGUAAUUUGAUACAUGAAUUUUGAUGUGGUAUAAUUUCCACAUGAAACUUGUAUUGUGGGUCAUAUAUAUAUAUAUAUAUAUAUAUAUAUACAUGAAAUUUUAAUUCUGAUUCAACUGUACACAUGUAAAAAAAUGCAUAUAUAUAUAUAGAUAUAUAUAUUACAUUGGAUUAAUAUAAUUGUUUGUCUAUGCAAUAUAUCAAAGUAAAAUGUAAGAGGUUGACUUGGCAUAUCCCAAAACAUUUUGUCAUAGCUUGGAUGGUCAUUCUCGACAAGUUGCCUAUCACUGGCGAAGCCUAGUAGAGACUCCUAAAAUGGUAAAUUUUUAAUUUAGACUUUUUAUAAUUUAUAAAAUUUUAAAUUAAUAAUGAUAAAAUUAUAAUUUAAUCCUCUAAAAAAUUAUAAAAAUUUAAUUUAACUCUUUAAAAAUUAUAAAAAUAUACUACUAUAAAAAUAUAUAAUUUAAUUCCGAAUAAAAAAUUUAGUUCAGCUACUAUUGCGUACAAAAGAAAAAUUAAUUUCGUUUUGGACCUAAUAUCGAGGGUGAUUGCAAACUGUGAGAUACAACACGUGGAGAGAUAUUGGUUUUAUGCAGCUCCAUGGGAAUGUAUUUUAUUAUACCAUCAUGCAGAUUGCUUCCAGUGCUCAUAUCUAUUUAAUUAUUUUAAUACACAUAAAAUUGUUUAUUGUGAGUUGGAUGAUUUUGGUUUAUUUAUUUAAGAUAUUUUAUUUUUAAAUAUAUUCUUAAUUAUUUAUUUUACAUAUACAUGUUUUUUAAUUUUUAAUUAUUUUAACUUAAUAUUUUUAAUAGUGAUUUUUUUAUAUAUAUAAAAAAAGGACCCAAAGGUCACUAUCUCAUUUUAAGUUGCACCAUAAAUUACAAUGUUAUGGAUAUCGCUAGGAUAAUUUAUCUCAAAAGAUAAAUUACAACACUUAAAAAGGGCCCAAUUACAAAGAAUUGGCUAAUUUGUUACAACCACGUUUCACCCAUUUGACCUUGGCGGAAACAAAAGAAUCAAGCCUCUUGUGAGCUCCUUGAUGAAGUGAUCAAUUAUCAUUAUGUCCUCCUUGUGAAAACUAAAGCGGUUGACAAUGCUAGCACAAUCUGUUUUAAAAAUAACAUUAUCGGCUUUAAGAAAUUGAGCAAGUUGAAAACAUUGAUGAGGGCAUCUAAUACCGCUUUAAUAGUGAUUUUUUAUUCUCAUUUUAUCGGUAUAUUUAUAUUUGAAAUAAAAUACAUAUUCUACAAUUAACUUUAAUCUCACUGUUACAAUACCUACAAUCCGCGUGUAUGUUACAUUAGCAAAAUCAACAUACGUUAAUUUUUCACUCAUUUUGGGGUGAUUUGACAAAAAUUACAAGUUUAAGAACUAAAAGAAAUGAAAAAUUAAAUGGAGAGUUGAAAUAACUUUUUUCUAUAAAGUUGAGAUCAAAAGAAUCAUUAUGGCAAAAAAAAAUAGUUGUUGUUCUUCUUCUUUUUUUUUUUUUUUGUAUUUUUUAGUGCUAAAAUUCAAGAUGGUGCGGAAUAGUUUCUAAUCUUAUUAUUGUUAUAUAUGUUUUCGACCCCACUAGAGCUAAUCUCACAGUCUAUAUAAAGAGAGCCUAAAUAUAAUUUGUUCAGCUUCUUUUAAACAUGUUAGUUCUCCUUUGUAUGAUCAUUUACCUCCCGUGAGUAGGGUUGAGUAAAUAAAAUAAAAAUAAUAAUUAAAAAUCGAUCCAAAUCAAGGUGUUUAGACGGUUUAUGGAAUAUAAAUUAAAAAAUCACAAUUAUUCAAAAUCGAAUCAAAUUUUAUUCUUUAUUUUAAUUUAUAAAUAAAUUUAUUUUUAUAAUAUAAAAAUAAAUAUUUUAUAUUUAAAAAUAGUGAAAAUAAAUAAAUAUAUUUUAAAAAUAUUAUAUAAAAGUAUUUAAUUAUUUUUAUCUACUUAAAAUAAUUUUAAAAAAUAUCUAUGAAAAAAACUUUGAAAAUUUGUCAAAUGAUAUUUAAAAGCCGUAAAAUAAAGUUUAUUUUAUUAAAAUAAUUAUAAAAAUUUAUAAUAACAAAAUCGAACUAAACUAAAUUAUAAUGGACGGAUAAAAAAAUAGAAUCGAAUUAAACUAAUAUCACUUGAUUUUAUUGCACCAAACUGGACAUAAAGGAUCUUCUUAAAAAAUUUAACCUGCAAUGAGAUUGUUUUCCUCACUAUAACCUUCUAGAGGUGUUAUAUAAGUACAUAUCAUAUGAUAAUUAUAAAUUUAAUUAUUUAAUUCUUAUAAAAAUUAAAUAUAUUACAAAUUAAUAUUUAUAUAAUAUAUAUUAAAUACAUGUAAAUUUAUAAUCAUAAAUAUAUUUUUAAUUAUUAUUUGAUAUAAAUAAUUUUAUUAUAUUUUAUUAUUUUCAUUUAUAUAAAAUAUAGUCCUUGAAUGUUGAAGUCUAAACCCAACCCUUAAACAAAGGAAUUAAAUUUAAAGUUGAGAAAGAUAUGGAUGGUAGGAAUGGGAGCAUAAGCAUGUAGAAGCAAUGGUGGCAUUUCAUCUUAUUAGCAGCUUUGGAAUAGAUUGUUAAGGAUGAGUAGGAAUCUGUAUGCUUAACCAUUAACCCAAACAUAUCGUAGAGAUUGAUUGUUCGCUUGUCAAAAUAUUAUACUAACAAAUUAGGCAUAAUCACUUAUUUAGCUCUCCAGCUUUAUAAUAAAAAAUUAUUUUAGUCAUUCAUUUAAAUUUUUGUCUCUUUUAGUCUUUAAACUUGUAUUGUUUAUUAAACCAACCCCAAAAUAAAUGAAAAAAUUAACAUUUAUUAACUUUGUUGAUGUGGCUUCCACAUGGAAGCCAAUGUGUAUGCCACAUUAGCAAUUGAUUAUUUUUUUAAAAAAUUUUAAAAUAGUUUUUAAUAAUUUUUAUACUUUUUAGAACUUUUAAUAAGUUGUAUACUUUUUUUUUAUAUUUAAAACAUUAGUUAAUUGCUAAUGUGGCAUGCAUGUGUAUGCCAUGCAAUUUUAAGGACUAAAUUGAUUUUUUCAUAAAGUUAGAAGGUUAAACAAAUCAUUAUGCCAAAAUAUAAUAUAGAAUUUAUAAAAAUGAAAAUAUUUAUAUUUAUAUUUUAUAUUUGUUUAAGUUCGGCCUGGUCCGAAAUAUAAACUUAAAAUCUGUUCAAAUUUGUAAACAGUUAACUCAAACUAAUUUUAAAUCCACUCAUACUAUUUUAAAAAAAAUUAAAUGAAUUUAUAUUAUUUUUAACUUAAUAUUUAAUAAUUUUACAUUUUUAUUGAAAUUUUAUAUAUAGUCAUCUUAAGAUUAUAAUAGUAUUAUAAUUUUUAUUUUUAUUUGUUACAAAUUACAUAAUAUAUAAAAUUAACAUAAUAUAAAAUAUUGCAAACUUAAAAAUUGGGUCGGGCCAAACUUAGGCUUUGAAUAUUCAAAUUUAAGCUCGACCCAUAUUUUAAACGGGCGGCCUAUUUUUUGAAUUUAAUAGUUUUACCCAAAUCCUCUAAAAUUUAAAAUCAACCUUUCAGCUUGACAAAGAACAGUAAGUCUCUUUCCCUUUUCUUUCCCUAUUGUUUUGGAUAAACAAUACAGUAAGAUCAGCUGAUGAAGAAUGCAUACAGAUCGACUUUCAACAAAGAAAAAGAAAGAACAAAUGUGCAUAGAGAGGAGGAUUUCAUGGGAGCACAAUGCCAUGGACAGAUCAGCUGAUGAAGAAUGCAUGUCCUGCUUUUUGGCUCUUCCAUUGAACUCAUGCUGAAAAAGAAGCAGCUUUGUUACGAGGUUAUAUUAGAUCAUUUGAAAUUAUGAGAUUAUUAUGAUUUUAAAAAUGUAGAGCAAUUAAGUAAUUACCACCAGUUUUUCUGCAUCUAAAUUCUUAAAGUUGUCAAAUGCCUUUCAGAAAAAUGCAUGCCAAUCGAAUAUGUGGGCAGAUAAACAAAUGAGGGAAGAAAGUACGAUCUCUGCUUUUUGUAUUACAUGCUAUGCUCUGCCGAAGAAUAAAGCCAAAAGCUAACAAAAAUGAAGGGUAAAAAGAUCAAAAAUUUCAAGAUAAAACAUAAAAUUGUAUGUAAAUAUGAUUAAGAUUUAAAAUUGGAAAAUGAACAAAGCAGAGCAUGAAGUAGAAGCAUAUUGAAGGCUGGCAUGCAAGCAUUUUGGAAAAUGUCCAUUGGGUACCAAUAAAGAUUUUUUAGAAUUAAAGUAUUAGAAGCUAUGAAAUGAUAGAUAUGAGCCACCAAAAUGCUUCACACUAAAUCUAAAUUAUUCAAUUUUGUUUUAUGGAAUCAAAUAGAAAAUAAAUGAGUGGCAUGAAUUACCUGUCAUUCCUUGUUGGUAUUUGGUGUAAGCUGCAAUUUCAAAUGUGUAUACACAGAUGGAUUUCAUCAGAUCAUUUCGAUGGUGAGAUUAAUAUAAUUUAAAAGCGUAAAGCAUUUAGCUAGAUUACCACUUUUUUUUUCUGCAUUUGAAUUCUUGAAAUUGCCAAAUUCGUUUCACUAAAAGUCUUCGAUGCUUACUGCACAAAAUAGCCAAAUAAAAUGAUAAAUGAAGAAAUUGCACCCAAAGCUUGUUCUAUUUUGGCAAAAGAGGCUGUAGUUGGAGAGUCAAUAUACCAACCUGUAGCGAUAUGAGCAAUCUUAUGCCAAUCCGCACCAAUCCCCUUCCGACAUCUUUCCUCCAACUGAGGAAUUCGUUUCAUAAAGAACUCUUCCAAACUGGUUCUCGUCCGGAAGCGAUGUUAAAUUAGGCAAAUCAGAGAGAAUAAGCCUUGGCAGAUUUGUUUGAUGUUGAAGCCACUCCGGAAGAUGGCGACACUUUGGAAUCUUUGCCAGCGCUAGAGAGCGCAGGCUUAUAUGAUCUUGGAAUAUUUGGAACUUAGGUGCAGAUAACUCCAGCUCCUUGUGUCACGGACUUGGAGUUUUCCCACACAUCCGUGCGGCCUUAGGCAGUUUCUUGGCUUAAAAACGCCUAAGUCAGCCUAACUUCCACCGAUAAAGGAUUCAACAGCAAAAACGCCUAAGUCAGCUCAACUCGCAACAAUAAAGGAUUCAACAGAAUUCCCUUAAAGUUUCCACGAAGAACAGCGGAAGAACGAAAUAAGAACGAUCUUUGGAAGAUGAACAAAAGCAAGAACACUUGAGAGAAAAGUUUGAGUAAAUGCUCUCAAUUCUUAUUCACAAAGAAUAAUGAAACAAUUCAGGAGUGAGUACAAAUGAGGGGGAGGCUCUCUAUUUAUAGUUGAGCUCCCCCAAAACCGAUGGCUACAAUUAAAAGCUGUAUUCGAUUAGGACUCUAAGUUUACAGAAUUAGAAGCUGUGAACAAUUAGAACUUCUAAGACUACAUAGUCCUAUCUUCAUUAUCGGGCCCAUCAGGCUUCAAUCUGACAGGCCUGUCCAACAGCUCUUUGAAUCGGGCCAGUUCUCGUAGGCCAAAUGAUCCCCAUCUGAGCAACAGACCUCCAUUGGAUGCAUUUGGUGCGCUGGUCACGGGCUUUAAACUGCGGCCCGUGACAUUUUCCCCCACCCAUUCUCGCAACGCCCUCGUUGCGACUUCUGAAUGGCACUGACUUGAUUCGCCUCGGUCUCGUCUCGUCGCCUUAGCCUUUCCCUUUCUUCGGGAUUUUUGCCUCGGCUUCUGUUGCUUCUUAACUCGAGCCAUCCUACUCGUCGCAUUUACUCUGGUCAACUGUCCCACAUGCAUCGCUUCUUUUCCUUUGAAGUCUGAUGCACCACCCACCUCUCCCAUAGGUGGAAGCCUUGUCGAUGACUCGGCCAACUCCGACGCUUCACUCAACUUGAGCCUCAUUGGUUUCAGCUUCACUGUUUUCAUCGCAACUCUUUCCUCUAAGUUCGAUGACAAACUCACCUCUUCCUUGGGUGGAAGCCCCUUCGAUGACUCACCAAGCUCAGACGUUGCCUUUCUUUUGACUCCGGCUUGCUUUGGACAGUUCCGCAACUCAUGCGGACCACGGCACAAGAAGCACUUAACUCGCUUAUUUUUGCUCCUCUUUGCCCUCUUGGCUUCGGCUUUACCCUUGCUCGAACCAAGCUUCUUGGGUUCCUUGUCUGCUCCAUCGUUCCCCUCGAUGACAGACUUCUUCGGACACUUCCGCCUUUGUUCGAACUCUUCUUUCGACAUCCCAACGGUGCCUUUGAACCAACAACUCGAAUAUUACUUGGUUCAAACCUUGGCUCGGAUACCACUUGUCACGGACUUGGAGUUUUCCCACACAUUCGUGCGGCCUUAGGCAGUUUCUUGGCUUAAAAACGCCUAAGUCAACCUAACUUCCACCGAUAAAGGAUUCAAUAGCAAAAACGCCUAAGUCAGCUCAACUCGCAACAAUAAAGGAUUCAACAGAAUUCCCUUAAAGUUUCCACGAAGAACAGCGGAAGAACGAAAUAAGAACGAUCUUUGGAAGAUGAACAAAAGCAAGAACGCUUGAGAGAAAAGUUUGAGUAAAUGCUCUCAAUUCUUAUUCACAAAGAAUAAUGAAACAAUUCAGGAGUGAGUACAAAUGAGGGGGAGGCUCUCUAUUUAUAGUUGAGCUCCCCCAAAACCGAUGGCUACAAUUAAAAGCUGUAUUCGAUUAGGACUCUAAGUUUACAGAAUUAGAAGCUGUGAACAAUUAGAACUUCUAAGACUACAUAGUCCUAUCUUCAUUAUCGGGCCCAUCAGGCUUCAAUCUGACAGGCCUGGCCAACAGCUCUUUGAAUCGGGGCAGUUCUCGUAGGCCAAAUGAUCCCCAUCUGAGCAACAGACCUCCAUUGGAUGCAUUUGGUGCUCUGGUCACGGGCUUUAAACUGCGGCCCGUGACACUUGCAGUUACUUAUUGCAUGCCCUCUAAAUCAACCUCCUUGCAAUCUCCUAUUGUCAAUUUUUUGAGGCCGGUGAAAACAGAUUAAUGGAAACCUUGUAGUUUUCAAAGGUGAAUAAAUAAGGACAAUUAAGAUUGGUGUUAACAAUUUUUACUAAUAUUUUGAAAACAUUUUAAAUAAGUUAAUAUAUAUAAUAUAAAAAAUCUAUAAAAAUUUUAAAAUUCAAUUAUUGUAAUAUAAAACUUUCAUAUCUAAAAACUCUAACUUAAAUUAAACUAUUUCAAUUGAAUCCAACAAACAAAUUGGACCGAAAACCAAUUAAUAUGAUUGGUUCGGCCACCUCUUAACCAGAACAACAUUAGUAUGUGAAUUUAAUUUCGUAUUUAUUUAAUUUGGUUAGCACAUAUUAAUAGUUUUCAUAUUCUCUUUAGUUUUUGUAUUUUGGGAUUGUGUAAAAUUUAAAAUUUUAGAUAUUUUUAUGUUCAUAUUUUCUUUUAUAAAUAUAUAGGGGUAAGCUCUCACUAAUUUUCUCAAGCUUUUAGGAGUUCCUUCUAUUGAAGCAAUAUCAUGAGCGAAUCUAUAAUCAAUAUAUAUGAGAAAGAAAAAAAUAUAAAAAAAGUAAAAUAAAAAAAUAAAAAUAGACUUGAACACUUAUGGAUGUUCAAUUUAUAAUAAGCUUAGGUAAAAGGGUUAAAAUAAUCAAACUAUUGUCUAACUCAUGCUAUGAAAAAGAAAUCACAAUUAAAAAAAGAAUAUCGUAUGCUUCAAUGAAAGUCACAAUUUAUCUUUGAUCAUGCUUGUUCGCAACUAAGUAGCUAUAAUGUAACUACAUGUUCCUACAGACCUCGCUCUAGUUGACUUUGCCCUAUGAUCCUUUAGCCGAAUUUGUGAUGUCUAUAUUUUAAUAUGCGAGGUAUUUAAAAAAAUAGAUACAUCAAUUUAUUUUUGUAGUGGGUGAAUAUAAUUAUUUAUUUAUGCAAUAUAUAAACAUAAAAUGAUGUCAUAUUAAUAAUUUAUGAAAAUUAGAUCAAAUUAAAAUUUCAUGUAUAAAAUUACAUAUUAUGCCAAAGUUUAUAUAUAGUUUUGAGAUUUAUCCCAUUUUCCUAUUAACUUAGCCAUUAGCUUGAGCAUUAAAUGUUCGCUCAAAUAUGAUAGGGGACAUACUUAAAACACAUGUGUACAUGCUAUAUAGGCAACUUGAAUCUAAUGUGUUAAAAAAAGAAGAAGAAGAAAUAAUCCUCUUAAAAUUUAUAAUCUCGUCGUAUUUUUAAUAUGUUAUAAUCAAGUUAUCAAUAUGAUGAGUCCACAAGUAUUUACAAUUUAAUCCAUGUCAAAUGAGAACAGAAAUUUAAAAUCUAAAUUGAUAGCUACAAAAAUGAAAUGAUUUUAUUGUUAUAAUAUUAAUACUUUCAAAACUUAAUUAAAAUAUUUUAAAAUUUACAAAUUAAUUCUAAAACAAUAUUUAAUAAAUUGAGAAUAUUUAAUACAAAUAACUUCUUAUUUGAAUAUAAAUAAUUAUAACACAUUUAUUAUUAAAUGAAAAUAAUAUUGUUUGGUUGGAAAUGGUCCCACCGUGUUUUACGUUUGGGGAACAAAGCGACGGCGUUUUAGUUGGAGAAGAAGGGAGUAACGUUGUUAAGUACAUCAUUUUGUUUAUUUUCGUUUUAAAUUUGUUUUCUCGUUUUCUAUUUGAUGCCGUUAAUAUUCUUUUUUGGGUAAACUAUAUUAAAAGUCAUUCAACUAUUUUAAAAAGUACAAAAUGAUCACCAAAUUAUUAGUAAUUUCUUUUAUCUAAUUAUGAAAAGUUACAAAAUAAUCAAUAAACUGUUAUUUUUUUCCUUUUCUUUCACCCAACUAUCUUGGAUUUUUUGGUAUUUUCUAUUUUUUCAUUAGCCAACUAAUGAUAAAAAUGAUAAAAUUGAAUCGUUGGGAGACUAUUUUGUAACUUUUCAUAAUUGAGUAACCAAAAAGGAAAAAAAAAACUUAGUUGGGUGACUACUAAAGUAGGUUACCCUUUUUUAGGUUAAAAUAUGCCAUAUGUCCUUGUACUCGCCAUAAAUUUGAAAUUUAGUCUCUAUACUUGUAUUUAUAGGAAUUUAAUUCUUUUACUUUUUAAAGUUCAAAUUUCAGGUCCAAUUGUUAAUACUGUUAAAUUAACCAUUUAAUGAUAGAGGGACUAAUUUGUAUGCAGUCCCUACAGUACCGGUACUUUAACCCUUAUAUAUAUAUUUGAAUUUUAUUUUAGGAUUAAAUUGAAAAUUUGAAAAAAGUAAGAGUUCAAAAAGGUAAAAACAAAUGAAAUUAGCACAUUAACUUACAAUUAUAUACCCUUUCUUUUCCCUCCUUUUCUACUCUAUAUCUCUCUAAUGUCAGAACUAAAACCCUCAUUUUCUCUCCCUUCCUAUUUCCCUAUUGCAAUUAUACCCACCUCGUUUCCCCUCAAUAUCAUAAACCUCCAUGUUCGGGAUGGUCUUAUGCUGCCGUAUUAACCUCCUCCUACGGCUUCAACAGUACCAGCUUCGACGGUUCCUCCGGUUGUUCCGCCGAUACGUCGUCACCUGGCCUUCGAUUCGACGAAGCCGCUGUUUGUUCAUCCCGAUGAUUAUCACAGAUUUUCAUCUAGUAAUAGUCGUGGAAUCGUCACCGAUCAGGAAGUUGAAGCUGAACAUUUAAUGCUGUGCUCUAUAUGAAGAAAGCUUGAUGGGUGUUAGUUCUUUUGAUGUUUGUAGAAUAAUAAAAGAAAACUUCUCAAGUUUAUUGGAUGCUAACAUAUUGUUAUAUACAAGCAAGGAAAGGAAGUAACAGAAAGUAACAGAAAAAUAACUACUAACUGACUAACAAGAAAUUAAUUUAAAACUAUAUGACUAAUAGCCCCCCUCAAGCUGGAGAGUGAAUGGGAAACAGUCCCAGCUUGGACAAAAUAAGCUGGAAGGGAACAGCAGGCAGAGCUUUGGUGAAGAUGUCAGCAAGCUGGUCUUUGGAAGAAUAAGGAAGCAAUUUGACAACACCGGACAACACUUUUUCACGAACAAGAUGACAGUCGAUCUCAAUAUGUUUAGUACGUUCAUGAAACGUAGGGUUUGCAGCAAUUUAGAGAGCAGAAUUGUUGUCGCAAAAAAAAGCAGUAGGCCCAGAAAUAGACAGAUGCAAAUCAGACAGAAGAAAUCGAAGCCACUGAAUUUCACAAACAGUAGAUGCAAGAGCCCUAUAUUCUGCUUCUGAGGAAGAGCGAGACACGGUGCUUUGCUUCUUGGCUUUCCAACUAACAAGGGAAUCUCCAUAAAAUAGGUAGUAACCAGUCACGGAGCGACGUGUGAGAGGACAACCAGCCCAAUCAGAGUCACUAAAUGCCUUCAGUGUAGGCGAAGAAGAAGCAGAAAAGAAAAUACCAAAGUCAAUGCAUCCUUUCAGGUAGCGAAGAAUGCGAUGGGCAGCUUGAAGGUGAGUGACUAUAGGUCGGUCCAAGAAUUGACUUAACUGUUGAACAACAAAAGCAAGAUCAGGUCUAGUAGAAACCAAAUAUAAUAGGCGUCCAAUAAGUUUUCUGAAAAUAGUGUUAUCAGGAAGUAAUUCGUCAGAAGCAUCGCGAGGGAUUUUAGUAACCAUAGGAGUUGUAACAGGCCUGCAAUCUGAGAAACCAAAAUCAGCCAGUAGAUCGAGAGCAUAUUUUUGCUGGCAAAGAUGAAUACCAGCAAAACUACGAGCAACUUCAAGGCCAAGAAAAUACUUGAGAUCCCCCAAGUCUUUGAUGCUAAAGGCAGAAUGCAAAAAGGCUUUUACCCGUGUGAUUUCUUCCAAAGAAUCACCAGCUAGAAUAACAGCAUCAACAUAAACCAAUAAGGCAGUAAAGGAAAUUUCAUCCUUUUUAACAAACAGAGAAAAAUCUGAAGUAGAUUGAACGUAACCAAUUGUAGUGAGAGCUGCAGUGAGUUUGGCAAACCACUGUCGACUAGCCUGCUUGAGACCAUAUAAUGAUUUUUGCAACUUACAAACCUUAUGGGAAGUGGAGGAAGCAAAACUAAGAGGCAAAAACAUAUAAACUUCUUCAGUCAAAUCUCCAUGCAGAAAUGCAUUGUUAACAUCAAGCUGGUGCAAAAACCAGUCUUUGGAAGCAGCAAUAGCAAGCAAUAAUCGAACAGUAGUAAUCUUGGCCACAGGGUAAAAAGUAUCAAAAUAAUCAACACCCUCAGUUUGUGUGAAACCUUUAGCAACCAAACGAGCCUUGUAACGCUCAAUAGAACCAUCGGCUCGAUAUUUCACACGAUAGACCCAUUUGCAACCGAUUGCAAUUUUGCCUGAAGGUAAGUCCAUAAUGAUCCAGGUGUUAUUUUGUUCAAGAGCAGAAAUUUCAGCUUGCAUUGCUUCUUGCCAAUGGGGAAUUUUGCUAGCUUGUAAAUAGGUUGUAGGUAUGGGAGAAGCAUUGAUAGCAAGAGUAAUAGGUGUGGCGCAUCGAAGAUGAUUGGCAACAGUUUUGCUGGAAAAGCAGUGAUACUGGUCUAAAUAUGAAGGAGGUUUCCUAAGACGAGGUGGCCUAGAGGGUUGUAAAGGAACGGGAGGUGAGGGUUGUGAUUGAAUUGGCAAGUCAUAGGUAAUGGUGGGGUCAAAGGUUAACUGUGGGAUGGAAGAGGAAGAAGAUGGUUGUUGAGAAAAAGGGAAAACGGACUCAUGGAAAUGGACAUUUUUGGAUAUAAAAAUGGCAUGGGUUGAUAGAUCAAAAAGAAUAUAGCCUUUGACAUGAGGUGGAAAACCAAGAAAGACACACUCACGUGCUCGAGGAUCCAACUUAUGACGAUGAGCAGUAAGAGUGGUUGCAAAACAAAGACAGCCAAAGACACGGAGGUGCUGAAAAGAUGGCUUAGUUUGGUAUAACUUGUCAAAAGGGGUAAGGUUAGCCAAAAUGGGAGUAGGGGUACGAUUAAUAAGAAAAACAACAUGAAGAAUAGCAUGUCCCCAAAAAUGCUUAGGCAAAUGAGAAUGAAAUAAGAGAGCCCGUGCAACAUUAAAAAUGUGUUGGUGCUUGCGUUCUACAAGACCGUUUUGUUGUGGGGUUUCAACACAUGUAGUUUGAUGAAUUGUGCCUUUGGAAGCAUAAAAGGCUAGAAUGGCAAACUCACAACCAUUGUCAGAUCGAAUGACUUUAAUUUUAGAUGAAAAUUGAGUUUCAACAAGUGUGAAAAAAUUCUGAAUGUGAGUACGAACUUCAGAUUUUGCUUUCAAUAAAAUAAUCCAAGUAAAGCGACUAAAAUCAUCAACAAUGGUUAAAAAAUAACGAUGACCAGUAAUGGAAAUAACAUCAGUUGGACCCCAAAUAUCAACAUGAACAAGUUCAAAAAUUUUAUUGGAAAUGGAAGUGCUUACAGGAAAAGAUAAUUUCUUUUGUUUGGCCAAAUGGCAGGCUGUACAAGGUGCAUUAUUUGACAAAGACAAAGAAGGAAUGUAAGGGAAAAGUAGUUUUAGUCGAGAAUCAGAAAGAUGACCGAGACGAUGAUGCCAAAGGGAACAUGAAGAUGUGUUGGCUGACAAGGCAAUGGGAGCAGAAAUGGAAAAAGUUUGAGCUGGGAAAUCCAAAAUAUAAAGACCAUGGAGCACUCUAGCUGUACCAAUCAUAUUCGAAGAAGGAAGAGCCUGUAUAGAACAAUGAUUUUUAUGAAAAGUAAAGGAACAAGGUAAUAUAGCAGUGAGUUUAGUAACAGAUAAAAGAUUAAAGGUAAAUUGAGGAACAUAGAGAACAUUAGUAAUGUAAAGACUAUUAUUGAAAAUGACUGUACUAGAAAUUCGAGCACAAACUUUAGUGCCAUUUGGAAGGUUGAUGUAUAUAGGUUUAAUGGAAUGAAAAGAAGCAAAAAAUGAUAAAGAGUGAGCAAUGUGAUCAGUGGCACCUGUGUCAAUGAUCCAAUGAUGGGAUUGAAGAGAAAAUAGGUUACCUGAGGAUGGGAAAGGGUUCGGUUGUGAGGAAGAAGCAGUAUUGGUAACAUGAGGUGGGGAGGUAGAUGCUGGAAGUAAUGCAAGUAGCUGUUGCAACUGAUCUUGUGUCAAAGUAACAGAAGGAUCAGAUGGCAAAAUAUCAACAUGCUGCGAAGAGUCCAAAGGUUGUGAAGCACAAUCAUUAAGCGCUGUAUGUGCACAAGAGGCCCGACCUCGAGACUUGUAACCAGGUGGAUAUCCAUACUUUUCAUAACAAGUAUCAACAGUAUGCCUAGAUUUGCCACAGAAGGUACAUUGCCAUGAAUCAGUAAAUGAUUUAGCCUGAGGUUUCUUUGAAGAACUGUGGUGGCGCAGUGUGUUGCUAACAAACAACUGAGAUGAGCCAGUAGGAAGGUGACGUUCUUGUUGAAUAACCAGGGAAAAUACUUUGUUGAUUGGAGGCAAGGGAUCAAUAAGCAUGAUUUGAGAACGAACAGCAGCAAAUCGAUCAUGAAGACCUUUAAGAAAACGAAUAACGUAGUCGUUAUCAUGAUAUUUCUGGAGAGUGACAAAAACACCGCAAGAGCAAGAUGGUGAACAAGAACAAACUGGAAUUGGUCGAAAAUUCAUCAACUCAUCCUAGAGAAUUUUUAACUCAGUAAAGUAAUCAGUAACGGAACGAUCAUCUUGCUUGAAAGCAUUGAUCUCUUCUUGGAGAGCAGAAAUGCGGAAAACAUCACUUUGAGAAAAGCGUUCACGAAGUCGGGCCAAAGAACACUGUUCAUGAUCGAGGGCGAGAUGGAAUGGUGCAACCAAGAAAGCACCAUAGUGUUACAUCGUUCCCAGGCAGAAUAAAGAGGAUCCGUUCGAGGUGGAACCGUGAUGGUGCCGUCAACAAACUGAAGCUUGUUCUUGGAUAGAAAUGCCAUUGUCAUAGCUCGAGACCAAGAGUGAUAGUUUGAGCUUGAUGAGACAGGAGAAACAAGAACCAAAGCUGGAUUUUCAUUUGGAUGCAGAUAGUAUGGGCUAGAAGGCAGCAUAGUAUCAUGAAAUGCCAUUGGAAGAAAAGGGAAUCAAGAAUGCAGAUUAUGGAGAAAGCAAAAUAUAACGUCUGAUACCAUGUAGAAUAAUAAAAGAAAACUUCUCAAGUUUAUUGGAUGCUAACGUAUUGUUAUAUACAAGCAAGGAAAGGAAGUAACAGAAAGUAACAGAAAAAUAACUACUAACUGACUAACAAGAAAUUAAUUUAAAACUAUAUGACUAAUAAUGUUUUGUCUUUGAUGGAUGUUUGAAAAAUGAUUCAGUUGAUAUCCAUAAUGUCUAUCACUAUAGUUUCCCCCUUAUGCAUAAUUCGACUGCUCUGCUAGUUUUGUCGGACAAAAUUAUAUUCGCAUAUUAUAUUCUUUUUCUUUAUUGUCUUCAACGCGAUAACAAGUGAAUUACUAGUUACUUUACUUGAUUUUUUCAUGGCAUUUAUCUCUUUGAGUUUUGGCCUUUGUGAAUUAACUUUUGAAUCAAGUAACGAAGCAUUUCUGAUGGUUCUUAUGGCUAACAGUAAGUUUUCUUGUACAAGCUGUCGCACUUAUGCAUUUGUUAAACUUAUGCUCUUUUUUAUUUUAUUUUCUUCAAUUCAAUUGGUUGUUAACGUUGAUAUAACCGUGCACAAAUACUAAGGGACCUUGUAAUUUUGCCUGCCAUUGCCAGUACUUCGAAAUAUUGCUGAUUUUUCUCAGCAAUUAAAAAGGAAGAGCGCAGCAGACAAAAAUGAUGUUGAGUCUAGCCAAUGGACAAGCAGUCCGGGGGUUACCUGUAUAUGGUAAAGGAGGAAGGAUAAAUAAUAGAUCAAAGACAUCAAAAGCCAAUAAAUCAAUGCCUCACACACCUGUGUCAAAUGCUGGUGCGAUACUAUUUCCUACUGGCUUUGUCCAUAGAAGGAAACUUAUGAUUCACCCCACGGCUCUAUCAUCAAUGCCUCAUUGCUCGAAUUAAGAGAGAUGGAUUUUGUAGAAGAGGAAUCACUGACAUUAUAAAUGAUAAUUGGCAGGUUGUCCAUCUCCUCUUACACCUGUGGCAGCUGCUGUUUAGAUAGUCCUUUAGUUAAUCUUUACUGCCCAUUCUUUUUUCUUUUACUAUAGUCUGUUUUAGCUCCUUAACCUGCUAUGGAUGGUGAGAACGACAAUAAUGCAGUCCCCAUUUUUAGGUCUGUUGACGAAAAAGUUUGUCAAUCUGAUGAAGCAUGCUGAUUUGUCAAUCUGAUGAAGCAUGCUGAAGAUGGUAUCCUUGACCUAAAUAAGGCUGCAGAAACAUUGGAGGUAAUGAAAUACUAGCGAGCUUAUGUAUCAUUGGGUGUUUGUUGAGUAUUUUUUUCAUGUUACUUAAAGGGUUCUUUUGUCCUUUAUUUUUCCCUGUAAAUGUUGUAACAGGUGCAGAAGAGGAGGAUAUAUGAUAUAACAAAUGUCUUGGAGGGCAUCCCUUCAUCUGAAUACUGUUUGGAACCCUAAAAAAACAUAAAUGUGUUUUUUCCUGAGAUGGCACGUAUUUUGCAAUAAGAAAAAUAAAGAGUACAAUUAAAAUGUUUAUGCAGUUCGGAACUUGUCCUAUGUCUGCGGAGCUUUGCCCAAAGAUGAAUCCACUAUGAACUUUAUAGUACAAAGAAAUGAUUUAAGCUUAACCCCUCAAACACUUUAUGCAAAUUCUCACUUUUGUACAAUUAAGUAAAUUCUCUCCCAACUCAUUUUAGCUAUGCAAGUGAAAAUUCACAUUCAACACUCACAUGAUUUUCCUACUAUGAAUAAGUUCUUAAUAAGCUCCAUAUAAGUGGAAUAAUAAAUUUUCAAAUGCAAUAUGUCUGGGAAUUGUCAUGCUUGAACAACGACUCUUCCAAAAGCAUCAAUGAAUCUGAAAAUUAUAAAUGCCAACAUAGAAUAUGUUACAAAUCCCGUUAUUAUCAGCCUUAUAUUUACACAUAUGUCUGUUUAGUAUAAUGCUGUUGAUAUAUAAAUAAUGAAACAUUUUAUCAACUUCAACCUCACCACCAAAUAUUCUGAAGCAUUUUCCUUUUUUUCCUGUUUGGACCUUCAAUAACAAAUUUGGCUGGAAUUCCAAACAGCUAAAAGAGUGCCCUGCAUCAAUGAAUAUUAAGAUGGUAAGCAAAAACAUAAAUAUAUAUAAAGAUAUGAUAGGUAAGUGCUUAAAUGAAGAAAGCAGAGCAUAUAGUACAACCAUUUUGAAGGCUUCAUGGGCCUCUCUCUCCACAUCAAUCAUUUUUUAGAAUCAAAAUAUUAGAAGCAAAUAGAUGAAUUAUCACCUCUUUUUAUGCAUAUAAAAUGAUUGAAGUUGACUAAUGCCUUUCUCCAAUGCCUUACUGCACAAAUCAGCAAAUAUAUUAUGAAAGAUGAUAAGUAAAAAGUAGGAUGAAAACAAAGGGAUUUUAACAAGGAAAUUAACAGUAUCCAACUUCAAUGAAAAAUGGCAUCAGACCCCUGACUUGGAGAUUCAAUAUACCACUCUUAUUUUUCUUCAAAAAAAGAUAAGGUCAUCAAAAUAAAUAAAUAACAAAGACAGACCAACCUGAUAUGACCCAAUGUUGGGGAUGUGAGCAAUCUUUUGCCAAUCAGCGCCAAUGUCCUUCCGACAUCUUUCCUCCAACUGAGGAAUUCCUUUUAUGUGUAAAUACUCCAAACUGGUUAGGCAACGCAUCCCGUCCGGAAGAGAUGUUAAAUUUGGCAAAUUAACAAGAUGAAGCCGUUGCAGAUUUGUUAGAUGUUGAAGCCACUCCGGAAGAUGCCGACACUUUGGAAUAUAUUCCAGCCGUAGAGAGCGUAGUCUUGUAUGAUCUUGGAAUAUUUGGAUGCCAGCUCCAGAUAACUCCAGCUCCUCGCAGUUCCUUACUUCAAACUCUUCAAGGAAAGUGAGAUGUUGGAACACAGGAAGCAGUGACCUCAAUCCAUUCCAGUUAUGAAUUUUUAAUGUUUUCAAUUGAACAAGAUGUUGAAGCCCAAUGGGGAGAGACACCAGCUUUGGAAUAUUAUCAAUCUCCAAAUGAGAGAGAUUCUUAAGGGGUUCCCCUUGCAUGCCCUCUAAAUCAACCUCCUUGCAAUUUCGUAUUGUUAAUCUUUUGAGGCUGGUGAGAUGUUGCAGGCACUCAUCUAGCGUGUAAGUGUCCAACCCCUCAAUGUUGUGUACAUCGAAAGAUUUCAAUUUGGAGAGUGGAAGAGAAGAGGUUGAAGUUGAUGGGGCCUUAGCAUUGAUGUUCAUCUUGAUAGUCUGCUUUAACGGCCUUGAACUGGUAUUCGACAACAUUAGAUCUUCACCGAGUGAUGGAUACAGUGGCAUUAAAGUCAAAGGGCAAUUUUGAAUUGUUAAAGAGGAAAGACAAGGAAAUGCCAUGGUUGAUGUUCCCAUAACUGUUGUGUCGUCCUCGUUGGAAUCAUCAUCGAUUGGUUUUGUCGUCCUCCACCAACUCUUCAUAUUUGGGCAAUCCUCGAGGUUAAGAAGCUUAAGCGAUGGGAAGAAUGAUUGUGGUUCUCCUUGACUUCCUUUUGGGCUAUUAUCAUCCAUGUACUCCAGCUUAGUACAAAACAUAAUAUCCAGCAGUUCAAGACAGGGCAAUUGAGCAAAGGACGGGAAAUAUUUGAAAUUACCACCACUUAUGAAAAUUUUGACGAGAUUUGUGAGCAAAGGAAGCCAACUUGGAAACUUGGCAUCACCCCUCCAUCCUCGAAUACAGAGCUCCUUUAGAUUAGGAUGGGGUUGGAGGUCUUCAAGUGAUUUAUCAUCAUCAUAUUCAUCAUCGUUAAAAUCAAAAUAAAAGCUCCAUUGUAAAACCAACGAUCUCAAAUGUUGCUUCUCAUUCAAAUUAGCAGCCUUAAACUUCUCUUUUGCAUUUUUUACGAAUCCCAAAUUUGCUAUUUCUAGAUGUCCCCUUAAGUUGUUAAGCAGUCUCAAUUCACUUAGAUCUGCACCGCCAUGGGACCCAUCUUUAUCCACUACAAACAUGCUUAACGUCUCAAGUGAAGUCAGCUUCCCUAUUCCACGUGGCAUAUGAGUUAAACUAAAACAAGCGUCACACCCAAUAUGGGUAAGCUUCACCAAUUUUUCAACCUUCUUUGGCAAUUCUUGAAGCCCACAACACCAGUCAAGUUUCAGCGCUAGCAAAUUCUGAAUCUUGCAAAUACUCUUUGGGAGAAUCUUGAUAUUGUAAUUGGAAGAAAGAUCAAGGUGCCUCAAAUGUUUCAACUUGUAAAUGGAGGGUGAAAUCAUCUGAAUACCUAACGAAUGCAAAUCCAAUACACGCAAGCAUCUACAAUUUGCAAUUAUCAAAUCCCAAGUUUCAUAGCUGAAAUCAUCACUCAAUUUUUGAUCUAUGUUGUCUUGAAAAUGUAACAAGGUUCGCAACUUCUUUCCCUUAAACAAAGGAAUUAAUGAAGGUUUAAUUGAUAUGUGGCGACAUUUUUCACCAACAUCACUUGCAAUUCUAUUUGAAUCUACAAUACUACUCUCCAUCCCUGCUACUGAUUCAGCUAGAUCAUGCAUUAAAUCAUGCAUUUUACAUGUUAGCCCUUCCCAUGAAUAUCUUUCUCCUACUUCUUGGAAGAAACUUCUUUCAACUAAAUCUUUAAAAUACCCAAACCCAAUCUCCUCCAGAGAUUGACUUUGAUUCAAUUGCUUUAUGAAACCCUGUGCAAUCCAAAAUUGAACAAGCGCUUGUACUUCAAUUCUGUAAUCUUUUGGAUACAAUCGGCAAUAAGCAAAGCAAUGCUUCAAAUGAGACGGGAGAUGAUCAUAACUCAAUUUCAGCAUAGGUAGAAGUUCUCCUUCAAUUUGUGAUAUUUUAGCAAGUUCAUUUUCUUUGAAAGAAUGCCACUCAUUUGCAGUUUUCUUCAAAGAUAAUGUACCAGCUAUCGUCCUUAUGGCUAAGGGAACCCCACCACACCUUUCCGAAAUCUGUCUCCCUACUUCCACAAAGGCUGAAUUUGUUGAGUCUGCAUAUCCUUGCUCAAAUGCUAUCUUUUUGAACAAAGACCAAGCAUCAUCAUCAGACAAGCCUUUCAAUUUCAAAACAUGGGAUUGACAUUUAUUAAUUAUCUCCGCUACCCUUAGAGAUCUAGUCGUUACUAUUAUCCUACUCCCUUUAGCCCCACCCAUCAAUAACUUCUUUAGCCUAGACCACCUUUCUGGGUCCUCAUUCCAAAUGUCAUCCAAAACAAGCAAAUAUUUUUUCCCAUCAAUUUUAUCUCGAAGUUGUUUUUGCAGUUGAUCCAUUUCAAGAUUUUGAUCAGGUGCUUGAUGAGUCACAGAUUUGAUAAUGUUUGCUACAAUAACUUUCACAUCAAAAUCAUCUGAAACACACGCAAACAUCGUUAAGUCAAAAUGAUUUUUGACCAUUUCAUGGUUAUAGACAAGUUGGGCCAAAGCAGUCUUCCCUAAC
rnacentral:lncRNA from 1 species